rnacentral:lncRNA from 1 species
ACUAUGCUAUCUGAAAACUAGCUCUGAUAUCAUAUCAUUCAAAAGAUUCAUAGUGUAAUGGACGAUUCAAAAAUAGUUAUUUUUUUUAAAAAAAAAAAGUUAAUGCGUGGAAAAGUUAUAGCCUUUUCUUUUAGUAGGUUCUCCAAAGGAUAGAUAUUUUCUCAGCAUUUUUCUUUUCUUUUUUUUUUUUUGAAAGGGAAAACCACUUGGCCUCUCAACACCUUUUUUUUUUUUUUUUUUGACUCAAAGGGAUACAAAAUAUUCAAUCAUUUUGAAUNUAUUAACCCCACUUUAUUCGCAUGGGCCAUGUUAAUAAGUCAUUAAACAAAUGGUCUUUUAUUAGGGAGUAUAAUAUUUUCACAAUUUUCCUUUGACUCAAAGGGAUACAAAAUAUUCAAUCAUUUUGAAUAUGUGGUUAGUUGAUUAGAAAUUGUAUAAGAUCUCAUACUCCCUAACAUAGUCAAAGGAAAAUUGUGAAAAUAUUAUACUCCCUAAUAAAAGACCAUUUGUUUAAUGACUUAUUAACAUGGCCCAUGCGAAUAAAGUGGGGUUAAUAAGCUCUCUAUUUGAGACAUUGCAUUCCAAUAAAAUAGCUUUUAUGUUUAAUUCAAAAAAAAAUUGGUGCACAUUUGGCACAGCUAGAGCUUUUACAAAAUUAGUGUUUUAGUCGAAGUUCUGAAAACACACUUCUAAAUUUUUUUUUUCUUUUUUGAUCUAAAUUCCCCAAACAACUUCUUGUUUUAGAAGUAUAAGAACUUUAAAAUUAAGAUUUUCCUUUCAAUUUUUGUUGCCAAACAUUUCAAUUCUAGAAGCCAAUUAAUUAUCAAAGCAUGCAUAUAUGUUAUGGACAUAUGUAAUGAAUAUGAUAGAGCAUGUCUAGAAUAAAGUUUCUACUUAACACACAUACAUAUAUAUACAUUUCUUUUUCUUUUAUCUAUUUAUUUUUCAAUAAAUUAUAUGUAAGUUAAAUGUACAUAGUUUGUAUAUAUAUGUGUCUGUGUAAUUAAUAUGUUUAAUAUGAUCAUAAUAAUAUUAAGUAACCUUGCCUUUGUUCCACGAGUACUUGUUUAAUCUUAGUUGGGGCACCCCUUUUUGCAUCAAAAGAGGCCCAAGCUCCUCUGCUUCUCCAUACCCAAUAGAAGAACAACCAGGUCCUGUAAUAAAUAAAAAAUAAAAAAUAAAAAAAAGAUAAAAUAUCCAUUUAUAUAAAUUCAAAAAGAAAUAAAAAGAAAUAAUGAAUUAUCUGAUUACCAAAUCACAUCAAUUAAUGAAUUAGAAAAGUACAUUAAACUAGCGAGAUAUCGACCUCUGAAAAACUUGGUCAAUUUGUGUUCUUCUAAAAGGUAUAAAACACACCACAAUGCACCUAACGUGCACCUCCUUAUCAACACAACUAGUUAAAUCAAUGAGCCGCCUACAACGCACAUGUCCGAUCACGGCCUAAGAUCUAAAUGCUUCUAUCUCCUCUUUCGCUCUCUAAAUAUUACAACUAUUUCAACACAAGGUCGUCGUUUUCAUUAACUCUAUCUCAACGGUAACAAAUAAAGAACGCAUUGAAAUUGAUAGUGACAUUGAACAAUAGAAGAUGAGAUCAAUGGACUCUAUUUUCGUAUCCUAGCUACUUGAUAUUCUUUCUAACUUGUUUGGUUCAUAUUUUCGCAUUUUAAUUUUGAAAAAAAAAAAUUUGUGAACUGUAAUAACUAAUAAUUAAUGAGAACAUAGGGACCAUUUUACAUAUUCCGGGUCCUACUUUGCUAAACGAGUACAAAUAUUUUUCAAAACACUUUGGACCCAAAAUAUCAUCCUUUUCUCAAAAAAAAGAUUACGCAUAUUUUGGUGCUAAACAAACUUUGCAGCUUGUAAAGGUAUUACAUAACAUAAAAUUUAUGUACACGAAAAUUAAGAAAUUAACAACAACAAUAACCAAAUGAGGCUUUUAUCGUCACAUCAAAUGAUUAUUACUCCAUAGUACUAUUCUAUUUUCCAUAUAAAGAUGUGCGUUUCGUGGCCAUUAAAACUAGUCACGUACCCACAUGUGGCUCAUUAAAGCAUGAUAUAAUUUCAACAAAAUUAAUAAUAGCAACCAUAUAUAGUGAAAUAAACACUAUUACUGGGAAAGGUUCUAAAAUUUUAUCCAAAAAGAUAUUCUCAUCACAAAGCAAACAACAUAAAGGUCAAGCAAUAGAAUGAAUACAAAGUUACAAACUAGGAAAACAAACAACGCACGCAAUAUACAAAUAUACGGGUCCAUUUGCCCCCUCUUAUUCUUUCUACCUAUGUAGGGUACAGUAUUAUUUAAUAAAGCACGAUUUAAACACUAUAAUUAUAGAAAUAUUACGUCAAACGUUUUCGACUGUUUCUUAUUCUCUUUGCAGUAGAAUGAGAAACUCUAAAUUGAAACAAAAUCAUGUGUAUAUUUAAUGAAUAUCAUAAACUACCUACUAAAGCUGAAGCAUAAUCACAUAUGUAUUCAUAAUUUUACCUUUUGCUACAAAAGAAAUUUAAAAUUAAAACUUUUGUAUUUGGUAAAUAUUUAUAACUGUAGUUAAAAGUAGGAACGUGAGAGGACCAUGGAUCUCCACGCGACCCUACGUUGUCGGUGUGAGAGACAUAUGUCUUCUUAUGUACAGCCUCGCGCACUAAAAAUUAUUGUGUGCACCGAAUGCAUUAGCAAAUUAUAUAUACCAUUCAACUAAAAUUUCAUAAUAGAGACUUCGAAAUCAGAACUUAAGGAUAUAUAUGUUCAAUGAUAAUUAAAAGUCCAGCAUAUCAAAAAUGGAAAUUUUUAAAUUCAUAUUUUUACUAACCCUUUCUCUAGAGAUGCAUAGGUAAUAAAUUUUUAAAAUAUUUGCCUUUUUAUUCUCUAUAUAUAUAUAAAUAGACUCUUCAGAUGAUAUUAGUUAAUAGUAUAAUAAUGAAUUAGAAUUGCACCAUGCUUGGAUGCCCCAAUAUGUUAUCAAGUGAUAUUUUAUUCUGUUGUGAUUGAAAGUUAAGAGUGUGAUAAUCAAAUGUAUAUAAUGAAAUAGCAUAUUCAGCUUCAAGUAAUUAAUUGUUUUCAGAAUAAUAUAAAUUAUUAUCUCCUAGGUAUCAUAUGCUAAUUAAUCUAAGAAACCAUGAAUGCAAAUGUCUUUUAAGAAGUUUUAAAAAAAAAAACUCCUAUCUUUAGUAACACAAGCAAAUUUCAUGCCAAAUAAUUAAGUUAAUUAUCAUCAGAUAACUUAUUCUGGUAUGGAAACAAAAAACUCAACUUCAAAAAUAUAUAUCAUCAAAUAUUAAGUGCGGUGCACAGAGUGAGCUAGGUGCAGGCAAUAAUUUCUCCUUCUCUAAUUAGUGGCCUCUAUUUGGUUUCUCUCAUUUGGAAAAGAAUAUAAUUAAUGGGUUAACUAAAUUCGCAAUUUACUUUAUUAUUUUUAAAAAAUAUUAUAAAAAAGUUUAACAAAUUAAGUGAUUUGAUUAAAACAUAAACUAAAGUUUAAUGACUUAAUUGACCUUGAAUAAAACUUUACUAAAAGUUCAGCGACCAAUGGUGUAAUUAUUUGCUUAUUAGUUUAUCUAUAUAUUUGAAGAAAAAUAGGGUGACCUAAUUUUAUCACUGGACAUUCCAGCUAUGAUAUUUGAUGAUGGUCCCCAACCAUCCUUGUUUUGAUAUGUAGACACUGGUGCAUGAAAGCGCCACAUCAACCAUUUAUUAUUUUACAUCUAUAGGCCCUCUCUCUAUACAAAGAGUACUAUGGUCCACACCUGUGAAUUAAUAAUAUGCAUAUAUAUAUUGAUUAAACCUUCUUUUAAUUGAUCUUGUAGUGUGAUAUGAUGAUUAUUUGAUCCUAAAAAAGAUCACACAACAAAGUGACAAAGGGACUUAAAGAGCAUAAGUGCUAAAUACAUGCAUGGUACUAGUAAUGAGAGAGAGAGAGAGAGAGAGAGAGAGAGAGAGAGAGAGAGAGUCAAACAUGAAGCUUUGCGUAAAAUGUUACCAAAAUUUUGUAGAUCCCGGAAAAAAGUUGUAUAUAUCUAAGACCUCCACUCAUUCUCUGAAAACAGUUGUACUUGUGAUGCAAAAUGACUAAAGAUUAAACAAAGUAUAUAAGGUGGUCAAUGUUGAACAAUAAGUUUGUUUUCACAAUAUUAUUCAACAUGGCAUCGAAGCAAGAGAAUCUGAUUAGUGUGUUGUUUUGUUUAAUUUGCACCCAUUUUAAUUCAAGUCCACGCCACAUCUCUCUAUCAAAAAAUCUCGACCGCGGGCAUGAGAGAAAAUGUUGAAUAUAAAUAUUAAAAAUAUUGUUCUCUCGUACGUAUGUAGUUUAAGUUUUUGAAAAACAACGGUUGUAUUUCUCAUAUGUAUUUUGUAUGUUACUAUCAUCGUGCAAUAGUGGAGGAGCCCUAGGGAGUGCUAAGUCAGUAACCUGAUAAAUGGACUACACAUUUUCGAGUUUGAAUGUACACAACCCAUUAGUAGAACAACUAGAGCUUAAAACAUAGCCAUCAAAUUAAAGGCACCAUAUGUACACUUCUCUCUAGCUUUCUCUCUCUUACAUUGACAAUUACCUUGCAUCUAUCUUGCACCAACUUGAUUAAAUUCACUUUUUUUUUCCUUUUUUGAAUGGAAAAUUAACUUUAUUAAUGAAACACCAUCUAUAUAUAAAUAUAUAUCUACCCCUUUUUUGAAUGGCUUAUGAUUCAUGUAACUAACAUCUUUAUAUCUAUCCUAACUAGUUGUAAUUCUAACAAACCCAUUAAUUCUCUUUGUACUCUUUCUCAACAACAAGUUAUAGUAUCAUGAAUAAAGGAAAACAAAAACAAACACAAAUACAAAAGGAAAGAUGGAAAAAAAACUAAAGAAUGGUGUAUGGUAUAUAAUUGUUAUGAAUUAUGUGAACAAAACAAGUGUAUAUAUAUAUAUAUACCUCCAUUGAGCCAUAGAACAAGAGGCUUCUUCUCCACAUCAUGAGAGACCUCAAAGAACCAGUAGAAGAGCGCGCGGCCGUGGCUCUCGUUGACAGUCACGUACCCCGCGUACUGCUCGAAGUUCACGAUCGGCUGGCCCGGGAGUCGGAUCACGCGAUCAGCAUCUUGUUGCUUUUGGACCUCAGGGUCCAAUUUGUAUGACUCAACAAGAGCCAAGUAAGAGGAAAAGAGAAGGAUACUAAGGAGGAAACAAGAAGGGAUAGAGAUCAAGGCACUCAUUUGGAGAAUUAUUGCUGGUCCCAAGGGUUCUUCAAAUGACAAGGGGAGUGGCUUUAGCUAUUGUAUAUUUAUAGCAUAAGGGGGGUGGACCCUUGUAUGUUAAUAUAUAUCCCUCUUAAGCUUAUUCGAUUGCACCAAAGUUGCUUCUUCUCAUCCUUCUUUUCCUCACAUUUAUAUAGGACAUAGAAAAAAGAUUCCUUCUCUUUUCUUCUUUUAUUUUGUUUUUGCUCUAGUGUUCAAUUUGUUUCACUAAGUACAAAAAGAAAGCCUCCCUAAGAUGAUGUGCAAAUCAGGUUAUUGUUUACACUUGGUGUAUUGGUGCGCUCGAAAUUUAUGCACCGUUAUUCUAUCUGCUAUUCUUUUCAUCUCAUAUUUUCAGUUCGAUCAUCUAAUUUCUAAAUAAAGAAAAGAUGAUAAAAUUGGUACAUGAUUAAGAUUAAAAUAUGAGAUCGACGGAGAGUUAAAUGACUGAUGUGUGUUACCCAGAAAAUAACUCUAAUAAAAAAUAAUUUUAAAAAUUAAAUGAAUCAUGUCAUGUGCAUUGACAGAAAAGAUAACUUAAGAUAAGAUUAAAAAAAAAAAAAAUUAAAAUAUAUACUACAAAAUAGCGAAUGUAAAAAUAGGGAUCUUAAGAUGAGUUAUGAUACGAUGUUAUCAAAAAAACUCAAUGUAUAAUAGAAAAUGAUUCAAAAAUAGUGUUAACGGUGCGCACAGAUGUACAGAUAUAAUAAUUGCUAUUUAUUUAGGAGAGUGGCGGGUCAGAAGAAGGAAGAGAAUGAGAAAAAUGAGCCAACUGAAAAAGCUGCACCAGAAGCUACCAAAAAAACAAUUUAAAAUCCCAAACCACUCUGUUUUUGGACUUGACUUCAUAUAGAUGGAUGGUAUUCUUUUGACUCUUUUGUUAGGUUUGGGUAGUUGUAUGCGUUUCCUUGCAUUGGUGGGGCACCUCUUUAUAGCCUCAUGUUUUGGAGGGCUUCUUUGUUAUUGAGAAGCAAUUAAUUAAUUAUAAGGGUUUUACAAAUAAGAUGUCUAAAGCUAGUUUGAUUAUUUUUCAAUGUUUUAUAAAUAAAAAUAUUAUGUGAUUAGAUGAGUUUUGUCACCAUUAAUUACCUUGCAAUGCAAUCUGAUCAGAUAUCAAAAAAUUAUUUCUUUCUUAGAAGAAAUUACCUACCAAACAAACUUGUAAAUGCAUAGACUAAUUAUUUGCUCAUUAAUUCUCUACAAUUAAGCCCUAAGUAAAACGACCCUUUCACUAGCAAUAAAAACUCAUUGUGCUCAAACCAUCAGCUCAAAAUGUUUAAACCUAAUUAUUAUUACUAGUUUUCAUGAUCUCUUAUAAACCCAAUAACAAUCUCAUUUUCAUUCGAUAUAGGACUAUUGGGGUGUCACAGACUUCCCCUGCUCUAGUCCUAACGUCGUCGUCAGUCCAAUAACACACAGUCCAAAAUCACCAAACGUUGUAAGAUUUAUCUCGCUAGCCUUGUCAUUCCGGCCCUAAUUUAAUCUUUCCCUUGUUAUUUCGACCCUGACUUAACCUAUCACUCCGACCUUGACUCAGUUAAGACUCAUUUUACGCUUCUAGCUAAUGAUUGGCUCUGAUAUCAAGCUUACAAAACGGAUCUCGAGACAUGACUCUAAUUUAUUUUGAAAUCCUAAAGUUAGAAGCGCCUAUUGCGCCAUGGAUAUAAAAACAAUGUUGUAAACAGAGCUAGUUUUGAUAUCUACAGAUAUAUUCAUUUUUUAAAUUUGCUUACCGUUCUCAAUUAAAUUUAGUCAUAUUUUUAGAUUCAUUAAAUCUGAAAUAGUCAGUACCACAGAUUUGUUGAUACCACUUUUCCGAAAAGAUAUUAGGAAUUUCCAGUCAAAAGAUUAUGUAAUAAACCUGUUUGUGAAUUCCACUAAAGACAACAAUAAUCAACACUGAUUAGAAGCUUCGAUAGUCCUAAAUGGUCCCCAGUGAGGCUGGCUUUUGUUUGUUAACUCUAACUAAAUAAAUAAAUAAAUAUUUUAACUUUAAAAAUACAAUUUUUACAUUUUUAUAUAUAUAAGCCAAUACAUCAAUAAUUUAUAAAAAUAUAUUAGAAUUACGAUAAAAAAAAAAUCCCCAAUUUGUUUUCGUACGGAUUUUCAUGUUGCGUAUUGCCUAUACUGUAGUAAAAGUCGAUAUAUUUUCUGCAAUCUAAUCACUAGAAAAAUAAAAAAAAUAUAUAUUUUAUAUGUUUUUGUUUUAACUCUAUUUUGUCAAGUAUUACCAAACUAAAUAGGCCAUAAAUAACAAGGAAUUUUGGAACGAAACAAAGAAGCUAAUGUCACGUUUAGCUGGAAUUAAUUACUGGCUUUGACCAGUAGAACGAAUUUUGAUGCACAGUUCGCAGUGAUAUCGCGUAAUAUGCGGAUACAGGCAUACAGCAAAGAUACAAAUCCUUAAUAUUUCCCUCACUAAUAAAUAAAUAUAAGGGUAUAAAUAUAAGGACCGACGGUCCCUAACGUAAGUGGUAAAAAGGCUUAAUAAUUGGUAUCCGAGAUUCAAAUUCGAAUCCUAGUUGAUUCACAUUUUCAGCUAAAUUUAUUUCUAAACAAAACGGAUAGCAUAUUAUCUUUCUCUGUCAAAAAAAAAAAAAAACAAAAAGGGUAUAAAUACUUUUUUUUGUGACACGCACCUCUCAGAAACUGCCAUGUGGAAAAUCCUCAUAAAAUUGGCUUAUUAGCGCCUACUUUGUUUUACCAAUGUUUGCACAGCUGAACAUAAUUUUUUUUAAAGAGCAAUUACUUAUAUACUCUUGAAAAGUUUCUGACUUUUCAAUUUACCAUUCUUAGAAGGCUAAUAUUAAAAAUAUCAUUUCUAGAUUUCAACCUAUUUCUAAUAUAUCCGUAAAGUUAAAAUUUGUUAAUUAACUCUGUUAUUUCUGUAAGAUUACUAUUUUGCCCUUUCAAAUAUACCCUUCCAUCAUCAUUAACUUUCUUAUUUGCCCUUAAAGUCAUGAGCAUAAAAAGUAUUUUGACUUUUAGUCUUUUCCAAUAUACCUCUCUAUCGUCAUCAACAUUUCUUAUUUGCCCUUAAGUUAAGGACAAAAUUGGUAUUUUAAUUUUUUUUUAACUGUGAUAGAUAUUCAACUCACGUUUAACCCAAGUAAACUUAAUAGAAGAUAACUGCGGAGGUAUUUUGCAAUAAUGGUGGUGAGGGGCAUUUUAGAAAAAAAAAUUAAGUAGAGAUAAAUUAGAUAUUUUCAAACGUAUAAGAAGUAAAUAGGCAAUUAUCCCUUUUUUUAAAAAUUAUCUUAUACUAUACAUAAAAGUACGUACUUCAAAUUUUAAUAUGUCGACAAACUUAUUUUAAAUUUUAUUUUCAUACGCAAAAUAAAUAAAGUAAAAAAAUAAACUUUUGGUUCCUCUUCUUUUUCAAACUAUUGAUAUUUUAUUUUUUAUUAAAUAUUUUUAUUAUUAAUAUCUUUUUUAAGAUAAAUAUUUAUAUAUUAUGUCUAUUCUAUCUACUGAUAUUUUAUUUUUAUUUUAACUUUUUAAUUUUGAUACUUUUAUCUUCUAAUAGUAUAUAAUAAAUAAAUUUACUUUUUUAAAAUUUAAAUUUUAUAUAGUAAAUGUUUGAAUAAAUAUUAAUUUGAAAUAGUUAUAAAAAUAUUUAUAAAGUGCAUUUGCAUGUAUACUCAACCAAUAUAUUAUUUAACAAACAAAAAUAAAUAACAUAAAAGUUAAAUUUUUUUAUUGUUAAUAUUCUUUUAUUUUUUUCAUAAUUGACUUUUAUCCGGAAAGCACCAAAGUUAAUUAAGUUAUUUUAAGUAGUUCGAACUUCGACCAAAGAUAAUAUUACGGUAAAUCAAAUAAUAAAAGUAGAUAUUUACGGUCAAAAAUAGCUUCACUUUGGUCUACUUGAAUCAGAAUAAUAAUAAUGGAGAGUAAUUUAUAACUUUUAAUACACACUAACUAAUCUCUGUUCUCGUAAAUUACAACAAUUAAUAAAUUAAAAUAAAAUAAAUAUUUCCAGGCUAGUUACCAAAGAACACAAAAUGUAAAUAUGGGAGUAACGAGAACGUUAUGAAAACGAUCACAUAUGAAUCCAUUAAUAUAUGACAUAUAUUAACUCAUUGACACAAAAAUUAAAAUUAAAAAGAAAAACAAAGGAGCUAGCUCGUGCAAUAUUGACUUGGAAAUUUGUGGUUCAUGUUCGUGAAUAAUAUGUUUUACGUGGAUAAAUGGGUACCCGUUCAUGUAAAAAUGGUCAAUGUUUAGCCACGAUCAUAAUUAAAAAUAAAAGAUAACACAUCAUAAUUAAACCAAAACAUAUAAAAAAAAUCAAAGAUCUUCAAUUUAUUAAUGCAGCAAAUAUCAAUAUUACUUAAUAUAAUGUAACCAGAAUUAUAAUUACAAAUAUUUUUCUUUGAGAAUUAUCAAUAUUUUCUUCAUUAUUUAAUUUUUGUUUCAGAAAACGUGACCCACCAACUAAUUUGGUAUAUAAUACCUAAAUAUCUCAUUAAUUAUAAUUACAAAUAUUUUUCUUUUUGAGUUAACCUCCUAUUUUAUUUUAGUAUUAUUCUUACUAAUCAUGCUUCUAAAAUUCCAGCACAAAUCACGAGGCCACACGUGCUCUUGAGCGGUACACGUUAACCACUCCCUCUUGAGUUGUAGGAUGCUCACAAAAAAUUUAAAAAUAAUGUUUUGUUGAUUACAUUGUCGAGCAUACAACUCAUAACUUAAUAUGAUAUCAGAAUAGAAUAUUCUAAAUUCGACUAAAAUUCAACCAGAAGAUUCUAAGUUCGAAUCUCUAUCAAACUUCUAAUCUCAUUUGAUUUUUCUCCCAUCAGAUUCAAGUUCACUUCUUGAGCAUAUCAAAAUAUUUCGAUCCUAGAUAUAAAGAAGAGUACCGAAUAUAUACAAUAUUAAAACACUAUUAUCCGAGUACUACACAUAAUUUAAUAUGAUGAUGAAUACACAAUAUUAAAACACGGUUCUCUAAAAUUUGCACAUAAUUUAACAUAACACAUGAUGCAAAAUCCUUGUAACAAGAGAGUAAAUACUAAAUAAAACAUCCUUGCUAUUGACAAUGCCUGUGGGAAUAUGUCAUUAUGCUGCAAAAAAACUGGUAAAAAUCGAGGAAAAAUAAAGUAGAACAUACUAUGCAACUAACAUUCCCUAUGAGCUGUUUGAUGCAACUAUGCACCUGCAAUAAUAAUGCGAGAUCAAACCAUAAAUCUUGAUUGUCACAUUGUAGUUGUAUCUAGAUACAAUAAUUGGACUUGCAGACGAAACCUCAAUCUCUGUAUCGCAGGCAAAAGCUCAAAUGCAGACGAAAGAUCAAUCGCUGUAUCACAUUUAAUGUCUAAAUAAAUAAAUAAAUUAGCAAUAUGUCUAAACACAGCAGCUGGAGAGAUGAGAAACCACACAGGAUUUCAUGGAUGUAGCAGUUCCAGCACUAUAAAUUUCGGAGUUUCAGGAUCCUGUGCAAUAUAGCAUGUAUCUGCCUAAAAGUUGAUAACAAUGUCUAGGUAGGAAAUCGGUUUGGAUUCGACAAAUGCCUACUGAUCCAUUGCCAACAUAGCUUGAGGUUUCAAGUUCAUAUGCAGGAAAGGACGAGUUUCUUAUGGCAGGCAAAGCGGUGGCGGGAUCCCCACAAAAUUAAUAUAGUGGGACGGAAAUCGAACUUCUGUAGGUGUUUUUAUUUUCAGGGCAAGAUCCUAUCCGCCGACAAAUUGUAGAUGUAUGGCUUGUUAACAGUUCAGUGUAAGCGCGAACAGAUUUUCCCCUUCAAUGGUUCCAUAGAAUCUUUCAGGAGAAAAAAAGAAGUUUCAGACAAUCAUGCGCAACAAAAGUUCCGUCUCACGCAUUUUUAUUCAGGCUAACAAGAGAAAUGCAGUCGGUCCUGUUGUCAUGAUUUGAUCAAUAUCAUACAUAUUAAGUUUGAAAGCUGCUGCUUACUUAUUUCUCACCUUAAACAGUAAGAAAUAUAUUGCCGCAGCAAUCUCAUAAUUGAAAACUCUUUCACACAAAACAAUCAGCAAAGGCAAGGCCGAAAAAGAAAUACCAGGUUCAGGUUUUUCCAGGCAUCUCUGUGUGACAUACCUUGAUUAGCAGCAGCAGCAGCAGCAGCAGCAGCAGCAGCAGGAGAUAGUACAACAGUGAGGUUAAUUUAAUACCAUUAAUCUUAGCCCCAUCUCCUUCUAUCUUCUUCUUCAUCAACCGGGGUGUACCACUCCGGCCGUCUCUUCGAGUUGCUCAACCUGUAAUUCAAGAACACUUCUUCGUCGCAAAGAGCCCUUGUCGCAACCAGCACGAGCGUCUUUAUAACAGGGCCAUCACCUUCUUGAUCACGAGAACCCCAGGACUUAAACCAGAAGGUGCCGAAUCUCUUCAUCGCCACGCUCUCUUCACCUCCAAACACAAGGUUAGGAAUAUAAACCCUCAUGUCCUUCUCACUCAGCGGGAAAUCAUAAGGGCAGACCAUAGCGUUAGGGGUGGUGCCCUUCGGAGGGUGGUUCGCGAAAUGGCCAAAGGCAAGCGGGUUACGCCACUCAACAACGUCCCCACCAUCCCCCCUACGAGCGUCCUCCAAAGGCUUACUUAGCAUUCUCCACAUACGAUCAGACCGCCCCUCAAUAUAUUCAGAAGGAUUUGGCUCGUACUCGGGCUGGCUAUAACCAUCCCAAACUUCUCGGGUUUCACCGCCAACUCCCCAAGGUUGCGCAUUUAUAACAAUCCCGUCAUACCUUGUGAUCAAAUAAGAAUUCGAGGCAUCGAUUCUGGGAUAGCCGGGGAUAUAUCGGUAGUAAGCCGGCGAAUAAAUUACUCCGGGAUAGAAGGCAAGAACAGAUCCGACUUCAGCCUCCCCAGAUAAGAAUAAACCGCGACCAGCAGCCUUGUGAGGAAUUUGAGAUUGUUUGAUUUCUAGGGUGUAGCCAAUACUAUCCCUCAAACUCUGCGAUAACUCACGGUGAGAUAAUGGCCGCGUCGCAGGCACAACUGUGCUGCAAAGAAACAGUAGAGGUCAGGGCAGGAGAAUCCAGUAGGUCUCACUAGUUUCCUCUGCAUGUGCUAUUAGUUCAAUAAGUUAACAACAACAAAUCAAACGAAAAACACAUCUUCGGACUAAAUAGCAACAUUCACUACAAGAAAAUCAACAUGUAAGAACGUUUUUUUUAUAUUUAACAAUGCUUAAAAGCAUUUCAAUAUAGUCCAGCAUCACAUUUGAAAGCGUCGACAAAUGAAAAGUCGCCACGUAUAUACCGACGUUUAUGCCAAGCGUCGGUAAAAUAUAUUCUGACACUUUAAAGCGUCAAGAAUUUUUAGGAUUUUUUGAAACCCUAAUGCUUUAAAGUGUCAAAAAUUUUUAAAAAAAAUAGUAAAAUUUAUCAUUUAAUAAAUUGGUUUGAUACAAUAGAGUGGUCAUAUGAGGCACUUUUUGAAGCGUCGUAUUUGCUAUAUUAUAGGGACGCUUGAGGAUGCUUCCUUCAAGCGUCAUCUAAAAAGCGUUCUUAUAUUAAGAUUUUUUUGUAGUGAUUCUACAUAUGAUUAUUUAGAUUUCAUGAUAGGAAUGCCAUUACCAGGUUUGUUAGCAGACGCGCUACUACCGAUAGCAAAACUCAAUCCACUACGUCGAGAACCAUUCUGGGAAUCUGGAACUGAAUUCGGUGUAUUGCGGUCCGUAUCAGGACGAAGUAUGCUAUCCAUCGUCUGGGAUAUGUUCUUAAUUUGGAAAUGAACAUUUUCCUGGACUUGUCUCUGCUGAUCAGAAACAGAUGCUUUGCUUCCCAUCUCAAUAAUCUCAUCUGCGUCCUUCUCAUCCGCAUUCUUUCCCAAACGAUUAUAGCUGGAAUUUAACAUUAGAAGAGAUUCAAAGUAAAUCGCAUAUGCGAUUCCGAAGAAUUAACAGCGUAUUCCGUUCCAGGUAACAUUUAAGGAAACUAAUUUCAAAAUGAUCGCCGUAGGAAAUGCACUAACCUGGUGUAAAGAAACAAACGAUUAACAUCAGCUUCAAACUGAAGAUGCCGUGGAUCGCGAGCGAAUGCUCGACUCUUUGCGAGAGAUUUAACGGCCUGGGAAGAACAAAACUGGGAUGAUUCCAUAAAAACAAAAAUUUUAAAAAAAAUUAAAAAAAUUUCUUUUCGAUGCAGGAUCGAACUUGAAAUCUGUAAAAUGUCCUGUUACGGAAACUCUUACGGAUCCAAACAAAAUUUUAAAAAAAAAUUUAAAAAAAAAAAACAUGGAAAAGUGGAAAUUUAGGAAAAGAGUAAGGGGGAGUUACCUCUUGGAACUUGUGAAAGAGGAAGGCCAUGGCGUAUACACUGGAGCUCUUCCAGAAGCUUCUCUCGCCGGCGCGGUGACGAAGCCGAGACCCCUCGAAACCCCAACAACACUACACCUGCUCAGAUCGAGGGAGGGUUUUACGCUGAGCCUGGAAUGGGCCGGGUGGGCUUAUUUUGAACCCGGCCCGGUUUGAAAUUUUCGCAUCUGAUUUUUUUUUUUUUUUUUGGGAAAAUGCUACGUGGCAGUGCACAAACUAUUAAAAGGUGUAAAAAAUAAAAUUUUUAGUAUAAAAAAUUUGAUUUGAGAGGAUAGAGCAUAUGAUAAUAAUGAUAUACAAUUAUUUAUAUAUUAUUGGUGUACAUGUUAAAGAUACGUCUUCUAUUUUAUUGACUUAGUCCAUGCGCUCAGCCUAUGAAAUAAUAGAGAGGAUAUCAUGCGGAUUCUCAUUGUGGAUUCUAAAUUCAAGUUGUAUGUGAAUUAGACCCGGGCCAGUUUUCUAUGCAUUACUCCUAAUUCAAGUUUGACUAAAGCUAAUUAAUUAGAUGCCCCAAGUGCAUGUCCGUACGGCAUGAGAAGGUGUCGCGGCCUCGCAUACGAUGUCUAGAUCGGAGUCGGCAGCGAAGCAGAGAUUCUCGACCAAUUGAUUGAGCGAUUUUGAUUUUUUGAAGCAACGGCAUAAAAAUUUGUUGUCAGAGCUUUCUAUACUUUUCUAAUUUGGUCUUCUCUGUUAUGAUUUUAUUUUUUUUUUGAGAAAAAGGUAGCACGCUAUACUUUUCUAAUUUGGUCUUCUCUGUUAUGAUUUUAUAAAAAGCUUUUUUCAGUGAUUUCUUUGAGUUUUCGUUGGAAUAAAAGAAAUGUGGAGCUCACCAUAAGACUCUUAAUUUUUAAUGAGGAGAAAAUAUGAGGUGUAAACUUAUGCUUCUAUUUCGUACAAUGAAAUACUCUAUUUCGCUCUCCUCGUGGAUGUAGACAAUUUCCAAUUCUUUUACCGUUCAUUCGACUUUUCUUAUUUUUGUGCAUCUUUAUUGACAGCGUAUAACAGACGAUCCACUCGGUGCAGUGAGUUGGUACCCCAGAUAGUCCACGAUGAUUAAAAAGUGGGUUUUGGAGUGGGACAUGUGGACUCGCUGGAAAAAAAAAAAAAAAAAAAAAAAUUUUUUUUUUUUUUUUUUUUUUUUCAUUUUUAUACGUUACAUUAAAAAGCGAAACUUGAAAGCUUCAUUAAAUCAAAACGUCGGUUCUUGAGUUAGUUUUAAUAAAACUUAAAUUCUUGAGAGUUUAGUUUUAGUUUCGUAAUCAUCGUUUUUUACCCUGAGAAAAAACCAGAGAGUUCAUUCUUAACUUUUCUAGAUUCUUUAUUAUUAAGAGCCGGGGCAGUACUAAAGAACCGGUAAUUAAAACCUCCGAGACUCUUUCGUGUUAUUUACCCUAAUCCAGGUAAACGUAUUUUUCUUCCCCUUAAAAACCCCCUUAAAAUUCCGUUUAAAAAGUAUGGUUUUAUGGUCAGAGGCUUUUAAUUAAGAUGUUUUUUAAAUUUUUUUUUAACGAUUAUAAUAGAGAAAAGUACAUAGAUCUGAUCUGAUCUAUCUCGACUCAAUCAUAGUGUAGAAUGUAAUCACGUGAUCGUCUACUUUUUAUUUUUUAUUUUUUUCUUCUUCUUCGAUUGUUUCUAAACUUUAAUUUAUCUGUAUUCUACUUUUAAGACUAUUUGAAAGUCUAGGAUGGAGAAACACCAGCUUAUUUUGUUUUCUUAACAAACCGCUUUUAACGUUUUUAUCAUAGAUGGAUGAGAAAAUUUAUAUAUAUAUAUAUAUAUAUAUAUAUAUAUAAAUUUUCUCAUCCAUCUAUGAUAAAAACGUUAAAAGCGGUUUGUUAAGAAAACAAAAUAAGCUGGUGUUUCUCCAUCCUAGACUUUCAAAUAGUCUUAAAAGUAGAAUACAGAUAAAUUAAAGUUUAGAAACAAUCGAAGAAGAAGAAAAAAAUAAAAAAUAAAAAGUAGACGAUCACGUGAUUACAUUCUACACUAUGAUUGAGUCGAGAUAGAUCAGAUCAGAUCUAUGUACUUUUCUCUAUUAUAAUCGUUAAAAAAAAAUUUAAAAAACAUCUUAAUUAAAAGCCUCUGACCAUAAAACCAUACUUUUUAAACGGAAUUUUAAGGGGGUUUUUAAGGGGAAGAAAAAUACGUUUACCUGGAUUAGGGUAAAUAACACGAAAGAGUCUCGGAGGUUUUAAUUACCGGUUCUUUAGUACUGCCCCGGCUCUUAAUAAUAAAGAAUCUAGAAAAGUUAAGAAUGAACUCUCUGGUUUUUUCUCAGGGUAAAAAACGAUGAUUACGAAACUAAAACUAAACUCUCAAGAAUUUAAGUUUUAUUAAAACUAACUCAAGAACCGACGUUUUGAUUUAAUGAAGCUUUCAAGUUUCGCUUUUUAAUGUAACGUAUAAAAAUGANNNNNNNNNNNNNNAUAUAUAGUUUAGAGAGUUGAAUUGGAAUACUAUUAAUAGUAUUUGAACUUUUUUGAUAUUGAUUUUUUAGCAGUUAGAUCUACACUUUGAUCAAUUUUAUCAUUUAGAUCAUACUAUCUAUCUAAUUACUCACUCAAUCUCAGAGGGAUCAUUACUAAAGCCAAGGGGACCACUAUCAUUCUAACACUAUAAUUUCUUAUUCAGGAGUUAAAAAAACUCGAUAACAAAAAAAGCCAAAUACUAUUAAUAUUAUUUCAACACAAUUAUAUAUAUAUAUAUAUAAGCAAAAUAAAGUGCAAAUUUUAAAGGUUGUCGUUUCGAAAUACUCUUUGAAAGAGUAUUUUGCCUAACUUCUGAAUGAGUUUGUUCAUUUACAUGAAAAAUUCUAGAUUCUCUCAUAUUAUUGAGCUAGAAGAAGACAGUACUGGAUUUUUCCAUAAGUUGGCAUUACAGCUGCAAAUGUUGCUAGCUACUUACAAGGCAAAACAGCAUGCACCUAAAUCUUUUUCAUGCGCGAGAUAAUUUUAAUGUGUACGAAAAAAAAUAGAUCCCGCCAUCGAAUGAAUGAAUGAAUGAAGCGGGAGGCCUAGACUGAGACCAGCUGAUGAGAACAUGUAUACAUACAUAUAUGGACAAAUAAAGUGAGGGACCCAACUCCAUGAGAAUCCCAAUCCCAAUGAUCUUAAUUAUUAUUGGUCCUUAAUAAAUAAAUGUUCAAGAAGCGUCCACAUCGACCAUAUGCCCCGCUACAUCUGCGCGUACGAGCACUGCCAUCUCUAAUCUUAAAAUGGUACCUCUUCAGAUUCCGAAAUAGCAUGGUUACAGGAGAUACGUACACACAGUAAUUAAAACAAAAAAUUUAAAAAAAAAUAAAUAUAUAUAUAUAUAUAAGGUAAUGAGAAAACUUUAAAUACUCUCCUGUAGUUUCACACUUUUUCACUUUAGUAUUUUGUGGCUUAAAAUAUAUUAAGUUAGUACUUAGUACCCUGUGGUUUCGCACUUUCUCACUUUAAUAUCCUGUGGUUUAAAGUGUAUCAAGUUAGUACCAUGUGCUUUCGCACUUUCUCACUUUAGUAUCCUGUGAUUUAAUAUAUAUUUCGUUAAAUUAUAUGCAAAAAACUUCAGAUAUCCUAUCUACCUUUAUCGUAUAUUCAAUUUAGUGUCAUUUAGUUUUAACUUUGUUACUGAUUUAACAAAAAAAAAAAAUCCCGAAAUGGAUAAUAAAAAGAGAUAAAUAAAACUAUAUGGUACUAACUUGAUACAAAAAUGAAAUCAUAUAAUACUGACUUGACAUACUUUAAACCAUAGAGUACUAAAGUGAAAAAAUGCGAAACCACAGGGUACUAACUCGAUAUAUUUUAAAUCACAGGAUACUAAAGUGGAAAAAAGCGCAAUCAGAGGGAGGUUUUUGAAGUUUUCCCUUAGGUAAUUAGUUAAUUCGUGCAGGGGCAUUUUGGGGAACACGUGACACGCUAUGUGUAUUAUUAUCCCGGCACGCUCCCAUCAAAAGCCCAAACUUUUCUUUUUCCCUCUCGCUUUUUCUCGGGGCAAAUUACAUGGGUAGUCCCUUUACUCUUUUUAUUUUGCAGUUUAGUUCCGAAGAUUUUUACUUCAGCCCUUUAGCAUUCUUGUGUAGUUUUUGCGAGAUCUAGUAAGAUUUAGAUGUUCUAAUACCGCGAAGAAUAGCAAUAAAACUUUGGAAUCGAAAAGUAUAAAAAAUUUACCUUUUAAAUUCAGAACAUAAGAUAAAAGACUCAUCUAUGUAAUAUGUGUUUCACUGAAAGUGGAGAUGAACGAAAUAAUUUUUGUCAACUCUUCAUAUAGCGUAAUCGAAGUAAAUUUUAUCUAAAUUCUAAUUUACCUGAAAAUUUACUUCAACUUUAAUUUCACGUGCAGCGAAAUAAACAGAAUGAGGCAAACAGGGUCCUAAGACCAUUUAUGCAUUUUACACUCUACAAUAUUUUAUUCCAAAUCUCUUUAACCAAUUCCCCUUUAUUAAAGUUUAAACUCCCCCCUUCCCCCUUCCUCCUCUCUUCCAUUAUAAAAACACUACAUAGGAGAGCAAAAUAAAAGUGUGUGUAAACAAGAGAGAGAGAGAGAGAGAGAGAGAGAGAGAGAGAGAGAGGUGCAUAAAUGGCUACAUUAGCAUCAGUUGGAUCUUUGGUUCUCUUGGUGAUGGUCACAGUUCUAGGGAGUUUUGCGAGCUCCGUGGCGGCGUCGGACCGCGUGAGGGGGCUCCCCGGGCAACCGGCGGCGAGCUUUCGACACUACGCCGGAUACGUCGACGUCGGCCCCGGCGAAGAGAAGGCGCUUUUCUAUUGGUUCUUUGAAGCACAAGAACGCCCCGAGGAGAAGCCCCUCCUCCUCUGGCUCAAUGGAGGUUUGGGCAAUUCCUCAAUUUCCUUUUUUUUCUUUUUUUUAUUCACUACAUAUAUAAAAAUAAAACUGUUUAUUUCUCUAUCAUUUUCGACUACAGAACAUUCGAUUCGACAAUUGGCGCCUGUUACCCAUCAUGUCAAACUCAGAUGAUUAUAGAAUGAGUAAAUUUGUAUUUUUUAGAAAGAAUUUGCGACCGCGUGCUUUCAACAAAUGAUGCACUUAUGAGUAUAUCGUGUUUUAUAUUUUACUAUCUUCGAUUUUGAAAAAAAUUGUAGAUAUAUACCUUGUCAAUAUUUAUGCGGUAAUAUCUUUUAACCCUUCUUAUAAUUUUAUUGUCACCAAAAUGUUAGAUAAUUCUAAAGUAUAAUUUCAAAGGCGAACUACAUACAUCUUAUCCAUGAAGAAAAUAAUAUCCAGAUAAUUUUUAAAGCUCGUUUUGACAUAUAAUUUAUCUAGUCAAAUUCAGACCCCAAAUGGUAAUCACAGUUAAUAUUAAUAUUAGGAUGCGUUUCGUUCGUAUUAUGAAAGAUUACUAAGAAUAAAAAAUAUCCGAGAAUUUUAUUUCUAUUCAUCAUAUUACUAAGAAUGUGGAAUUCCUGUGUUUGGUUCGCACGGUAAUAUUAAUUAGUCAUUUAUUUAAUAUUAUAAAAAAUAUAAAAUUUAUUUAUUUAUUUAUUUAUUUAAUUUUAGAUAAUGUUACUAAAAGUUUCAACAUCUUUUUAGAAAAAAGGGAGAGAAAGUAUAAACUAGAGGAAGAUAGCAUAAUUUAAAAAAUAGAAAGAAAAAUAUAGUCGAAACUAGAGAGAGUGAGAAAGUUGAAAUUUUAGAAAGAGAAAGAGAAAGAGAAAGCUUAGUUUAGAGAGAGAAAAAAAAAUUGAAUUUUGGAGAGAAAAAUAAGUUUAGAAAGAGAUAUAAAGUUAGAGUGUAAAGAAAAAUAAUAUUAAUUAGCCGGUGGGUAAAAAGAAAGAAAGUGAUUAGACAUAUUAUGAUUAUCCCAAUCCAUUAAUAUGAGAAUACCCAUUCUCUCUCAAGGGAAUGAGAUUAGUACUUUGGAGUGAAUCUUAUUUCCAAGUGAAUCCAAUAUUACCAAUUAGAUUACUUAGUGCGUUUAGCCAAACACCGUCAUAUUUUUUUAUUCCCAUUGGAUUACUAAGAAUCUUUAAAAAAUAACGCGAACCAAACGCACCCUUAAUAUUAUCUUAAUUUGUUCAUAUCAUUUUUCCCAUGUAGUGACUUAGAGGCUAAUCUCAAAAAUCUUUUCCAUGCUUCUCGGCGCGAGGAGCCAAUAGAAUACAAGUUUUGAAGAUAAUUAUUACCAAAAUAAAAAAAAAAAAAGUCAGAAAUUAGUCUUUGUACUCUUACUUAUAUGGAUAGUGGAUACCAGUUAUGCUACGUAUCUGAAUGAAAAUGUAUUAAAAGAAACAACAUAAUAUAGACAUGGAUAUGUACAAUAAAAUGGAGAGAUUUUAGAUCUGACUCUGAUACUAUAUUAUUUACAAGAUCAAAAUGACUAGCAAAUUAAUUUUUUUAAUAUAUAUAUAUAUAGGGAGAGAAGUAUCCAUAGUGUACCUCUAGAGACAGAUGAGAAGGUCCAACCUGUGUAAAAAAGUGUGUUAUCAAAAACAGAGAUAAAGCUUCCAUCCUCAACAGUGUGAUUUUGUUUACUCUCCUACAUGUUGGACUGGAUCUUUAAUUACACUUUAUUGGUGUCUACUCAUUUUCACACUUUAUUUUUGUCUCCCCCACUGUUUUGCAUGCUUGUGUGUGUGUAUAUAUAUAUAUAUAUAUAUAUGUAUGUGUGUGUGUGUGUGUGUGUCCAAUGAAGAGAGAGAGAGAGAGACAAAUAUAAAGACAAAGUUCAAAAAUGAAAACAAAUAGAUAGGUCUCUGUUUCUUCAUUAGGUCUAUGGAGUCAUUAAAGUCCAAAUUAAAUGUCAUAGAUGUUGGGCUACCAUUAGACAAAGAGUAAAGCUAUUCAGGUCACAUGUCAAAAAUGUCUUCUCAUCCUGUUAUUAACUGUUUCCCUUUUUUUUUUUUUUUUUUUGGCCCUCCAUUUAGUUGUAUCUUUUCUUAUUUAAAAAUGAUCUUCAAGAAAAGAUAAAAUAUUUUGAUAGCCACAUAAUUUUCGAAAACAUUUCCAUUUUUUUUGAAGGCCAAAAGAUUAUAACAUGUAUAACAACUGUAAGACACACGAUGAUUUUCUGUGAUGAUGAUUGAUUUAUAGUUUAUGUAAUGCAGGACCGGGAUGCUCGUCGGUAGCAUACGGGGCCGCGCUGGAACUGGGUCCGUUUCUGGUUCGAUCCACUGGUCCAAAUCUCACACUCAAUCCCUACUCCUGGAACAAGGGCAAGCAUAAACUCUCAUUCCCACAAUUAAACCCUUCUUGCUAGGUUAAAGUUUUCUUUUUCUAUUUCUACUUAAUCUCUCUCUAAUCCUUUGUUAAUAAUAUUUCCUUUUCUUUAUAUUGAAACUCGUACAUUACAGCUGCGAAUCUUUUGUUCGUGGAAGCUCCGGUCGGAGUCGGCUUCUCGUACACGAAUCGAACAUCGGAUUUGAAGGAGCUCGGAGAUAAUGUUACGGCGCAAGAUUCGUAUAGAUUUCUUUUAAAUUGGUUUACAAAGUAUCCAAAUUUGAAGUCUCACGAUUUCUAUAUAGCUGGAGAGAGCUAUGCAGGUUGAUGAAAUUACAAAAGUUUAAUUUUAAGUGUAAAAAUACUCUCUUUCUUUUCCCCUUUGAAGUAUAUGUAUAUAUAAUUAUAAUGUAGCACUAAUCUUUUCAUGCAUUUUUUUUUUUUUUUUUUUUUUUUGUGUAGGGCAUUAUGUUCCACAGCUUGCUCAGCUUAUAUAUGAAGAAAAUAAAAAGGCCACAAAAGACAAAUAUAUCAACUUGAAAGGUUUUAUGGUAAGCCAUUUAAUGAGCAAAUUCUUUGUUAUAAGAUGUAGAGAGAGAGAGAGAGAGAGAGAGAGAACCUCAAAAAACAUAAAAAGGAAAAGAAAGAUUUUAAAAAAAAUUGAAAAAGAAGAUUCCAAAGAAAAAGUAAAGGUGAAAGAAUAUUCGUGUGCUUUCACUCACUCUUUUUCUUUUUCUUCUCCAAAGAAGGGAAAAAGAAGAAGACGAAGAAGAGGAACUUCACCUUUUAAUUAGGGUUGUAUCAGAGUGAAAUGGAUAUAUAAUUAGCCUGAUGUCUAAAUAUUUUGAGUUCUAAAAUGUUACUAUGGUGGCAAUUUAUUCUGAAGCUGUUCAUGAUCAAAUAGUAUAAUCUUCGAAUUUAAAUUGUACUUUUGCUAUAGCUAAACGAUAUUUGACAAGUCAUUAGUGUUUUAUAUAUAACCUAGCCUAUUCAAAUAGCACUUCUGUAAAAACUUCAAUAAAAUAAAUGACCGUUCCUCUCUUCUACAUGACCGCAGAUAGGCAAUGCUGUGCUGAACGACGCAACCGAUCAGCUGGGGAUGGUGGAAUACGCAUGGAGCCACGCGAUAAUAUCCGACGAGCUGUACUCGACGGUGCGAAAAGAGUGCGACUCAUUCAAGGAGGAGGCGGAGGGGGGGAAGCCCCGCAAGGGAUGCUCACCAGCCGUCAAAGCAUUCCUCCAAGCCUACGAUGACAUCGACAUCUACAGCAUCUACACCCCCGUCUGCCUCUCCUCCCUUUCCCAGUCUCCCCGCGGCUCCUCCGAUCUCCUCGCAGCCCCACGCCUCUUCUCUCAACAAGUACGCAUCAUGCAUAUUGAUUGGUCAUUAUUUCUACUCGCUUUAACUAGUUCUUUUAAGUAGUAGUUAGAAGACUGACAAAUAACAUACUCAAAGGGUUUGUAGUGGCGUAUAUAAAGCUGAAAUACGCUUUUUAAGACUGAGAAAUAGAAAAUCCACUUAAUUUAAAGAUCCUAAAACUGUUGUAGGUGAAAAUUGUAAGAAGGAUCUUAACAAAAAAAACGAUUAAUACUUCUUUCAGAAGUUCUAAUAAAUUAAACAAUAUUCAUAUAGAAUUUUUGGGCCAAACAAACCCUUAGAUGAGCUUAGCUGGGAUACUUUUAUAAAUGCGGAGAUCUCCAUGUUCUAAGUUAAUAUUUUCAAUAAUAGAACUUUCGAAUCGAUAAUCAACUAUGUAAGACUUGGUUCAGAUUUUUUGAAAUAUCUGAAAAUAGACUUUUGUGAUUUUUUGAUAUCAUUUAACUAGUAAUCGAAAGAACUCAAAAUCAAUAGCUAAAAAUUAAAAUAUCGUAAAAAGUGAUGGUGCGAUACUAAAAUUUUAGAUCAAAUAUAUUGAUCUUACAUUAGAUAGUGUAAAAAAUUUUCUACCAAAAUUUUACCUAAUAUGAAUAUUUAUACACUAUUACUAAACUUGCAACUGGUUCACGUAGGCCAUUAAGUUGUUGAUUUUGAGCCUUUUCAAUUAAGUAAAUAAUAUUGAAAAGUUAUAAAAUUUAUUUUCUAAAUGCUUCAUAUAUACUAAAUUAAGUCUAACGUAGUUAAUCGUCGAUUCAAAAGCCUCGUAAUCGAAAACAACUUAAAAGCACGAAGUACCCCAACUGGACUCCCCUUAGAUCUAGUACUCUCACUACUACUCCACACUAGUAAAGAGAACACUGAUUAUAAGAAGAAGAGUUAUGCAGUGAGGUUAAGUUUGGUGAUGAUAAUAAAACUGAUCUACAGGAGGUGUGGAGGCAUAGAAUGAGGAAGAUCCCUGCAGGAUAUGAUCCAUGCAUGGAGGACUACGUGAGGGCUUACUUCAAUCGCGAGGACGUGCAGAGAGCGCUGCACGCCAACCUGACCCACCUCCCCUACCCAUUCUCUCCUUGCAGGUACCCUCCUCAUUCUCAUUAACAUACAUAGAUUAAUACUCUCAUUCACGUACACGAUAAAUAUAGUAGGCACGUAAAAUUAACAGAUGAGAUAGAAUAUGAGAUGAAACUUUAACUUGUUAAAUACUAAAGAUAGCUAGGUACUGAAUCCACAACUUCACAGAAUUAAAGGGUUUAGAAUCAGCUCUGACGCUAUGUUAUCAGAAAGAUCUUUUACUAGAAAAUAAAUCCAGAAAUAUAUACUAACAAUCGUGUGCUACAUUAUUGCGACCCAAAUGUUCAUGCAAAGGUUAAUUUGAAACUAAUAAACAUGCGCAUUCUCCAUGCGAUUAUUCAAAAGAGAUCAAUCUCUGAGGAUAUAAACUUGUAACAACAAAUGUUAAUUAAGUUUGGUCAUUAUUUACUGGCUAAAUAUUGUUAAGAGUUUUUUUGACAUUUUCUGAUAGAUUUGAUUCGAAAACUCUUUAAAGUCCAAAGUCCUGACUCUAUGAUCAUUUAAUAACAGAAACUACUGUUUUCACUUUGGUCAAUUACGUAUGCAGUUUAGUUACACUGUUCCAAACUACUUCUGAGUCGUUUCCUAAUGCGACAAACAAGAGUAGAUUCAGUAAUUUUGAUAUCCAAGCCAAGUAAAUGUCACAUUUCCGUAUGUGUUAUAUAUUUAUUAAUCUGCUUAUUCUGACACGUGAUUGGUCAGUGCUAUGAAUUCACAAUCUGUGUACCCUGUGCCCCUGUAGACGCAUUUAUUCCUAUGAGUGCUAUAUAUAUAUAUAUAUAUAUAUACACACACACACACACACACACACACACACACACACACACACACACACACACACACACAUACACACACACACAACAUUGCAUGCACAAUUACUUAUGAAGCCCACUAAUUAAAUGGUCCUUUAAUGCUUUUGACUGUCUCAUAUAUUCUGCCUUGUGAGAGCAAUUUGCAUGCAUGCAUGCUGUCCAAUGAAUCCACCUCGACCGAGAACCUCCCGGAUUUCUCUACCACCAUUAAUUGAUUCCAUCCCCCUCUCCCUCUUAAAAGCCCUUCCCCUCAAUUUGUCCUCUCCUGUAUUUAUUAUUGUUAGAUAUUUAUUUCUAAGCCAAUUUGUUCUAAAUAUACAUAUUCUCCUGUAAAUUCAUCAAUGUCCAUAUGCGAAAAUGAGAAUGUUAAAUAUAUUUCUGAACUCGUUACCUACUCGAUCACUAUACUACAAUAACUUUAUUAUAUCAUCAACUUAAUAGCAUCAAAAAUUAGAUUAUUAUAAAUUAUAUUUUGUUGUAAUAGUUUGUUCCGUUGUGAUAAUUAAAUAUUAUCAAGUAAGUUUCUUUUUAAUAAGAUCCAACUCUUCUUCUUCUUACUUAAUUACUAACGCACCUUAUAAUAUAUGUGCUCUCCAAUCAAUAUAUAGAUGUAGAUUAGGACCAAACACGAAUGGAUAAAAUGAUUCAAAAUUUCUGAAGAAAUCUAUUUGUUAUCUGAUUAAAGAUUUUAUGUUCUAGUUCGACCAAGAACACAAUGCCAAUCAGAAUCAUCACCCCUAAUGCAAAUAUAUUACUCUGAGAAAAAAAGAAAAAAGAAAAAAAAUGUAUAUGUAUAUGUACACAUAUAUGUACGUAUAUAUAUGUUCUUUUUGAGGUUAAUAAGAAGAAAUUUGUUCUUUCUUUGUGGUGCAGCGAAGUAAUACGAAAAUGGAACGAUUCGCCUUCCACUGUCCUGCCCAUACUCAAGAAGCUCAUAAAUGCCGGACUCCGCAUUUGGGUUUACAGGUACUAAACCAUAUCAUGAUCAGCGAUACCAACUUAACAUGAUCAUAUAUAUAUAAAGUUGUACUGGAAUGCUAUUAAUAUGCAGUACUAUUCACUUUGUGACCCUUAAAUGACUAGGGUUAAGUGGGUGGUUGGUGUAAUAAUAAUGAUCUAAGUGUCAAAAAAUAGAUAGUAUGUACUAUUAAUAGUAUCUUAACUGGAAUUAUAUAUAUAUAUAUAUAUAUAUAUAUAUAUAUAUAUNACAUAAUGACCGACUAUAUAUAUAUAUAUAUAUAUAUAUAGCUGAUUAACCCCACAGGUGAAUUUGUCUUUUUUUGUCAUUUUUUUUUUAUUUUGAACUCAUUGAUUUGGUGUUUGAAGCGGGGACACCGAUGGUAGGGUUCCGGUGACGUCGACGAGGUACAGCAUCAACAAGAUGAAGCUCCAUGCCAAGAAGAAGGGAAAGGGGAAAGGAGAUGAAUGGGGAGGGUGGAGGGCAUGGUACUACAAGGAGCAGGUCGGGGGUUGGGUGGUGGAGUACGAAGAGGGCCUUGCGUUCGCCACCGUGCGCGGCGCGGGCCACCAGGUCCCAGUCUUCGCCCCGGCCCCGGCCCUCUCCCUCCUCUCCCACUUCCUUGCGGGGCGAUCUCUCCCCGCGUCGCGCUCCACAUGAUCAUACAAUACUAGUAAACCAUGAAAACUACACAAGCUACGUACGUGCAUGCAUGCGUGCACGCAUGCAUUGCAUGGCAUUGUCGACGAGCUAGUGUGUGCUCAUGCGAGUACGUACUUGGAGAUUGUGGUGUGAGUUUAUUAAUCUGUAAUGAGAUUGAAAGAUAAACUCGAUUAAUUGUUUAAUUGCGCAUUGUAAUUGUAUUGUGAUUGGUUUCUGCAAACACACAAGGAAUUUUUUACACUUUCAUAUACGCAUGCCUCUCGAAAUACACUUAAUCAUUUGCAAACAAAAAGUUUCAGUUUGCAUCUAAUGCAUCUAUGGCGCCCUUGAUGAGUUAAUUCGAAAAAUACGAAUAUUCGUAUUAUUUUACACCUUAAAAAUAAUUUGUAUUUGCACUUAUUUAUACUGAAAAUGGUGUCAGAAGCGGAGGGCAUAUAAGAAAAAAGCUGUAAAGUUACAAAUAUAAAUUUUCAAAUAUGAUUAUUUUUAUGGGCCAACAUGCAUGCAUAGACAUAAAUCAUAACUUUCUCAAAGGUUAAAAAAUACAUAUUUUUCAACUAGCAUAUAAGCAAAAAAAUGAAAAUGAAAAAAUGUAACAAGCUCAAGGACUAGUUUGUUUGCUCAUCUCUUUUUUUUUUCUCUCUCUUUUACUUUACAUUAUCUUUUCAUGAGUGAGGCUACUAUGCUAUCGAAAGCACGGAGCCUUCCGUGUUUCCAGCUCGUUUUCGAUGUUGCGACUUUCGAAUCGUCGAUCGGCUCCGUUAAACUUGAUCUAGAGUAUUUGGAGUACCUAGAAAAUAAAUUUUAUUAUUUUUCGAUAUCAUUUGCCUAGUGAUCGAAUGGUCUCAAAAUCAACAAAUUUCAAUGGCCGUAGUGAGCCGUUUGCAAGUUUAACGGUGUAGAAAUAUCCAAAUCACGUAAAAUUUUGAUAGAAAAUUCUUUAUACUAUAUAAAAUAAGAUCAAUAUCUUUGAUUUAAAAUUUUAAUAUCAUAUUAUUAUAUUUUGUAAGAUUUUUAUUUUCAGCCGUUGAUUUUGAGCCCCUUCGUUCACUAGGCAAAUGAUAUCGUAAAAUCAUAAAAUUUAUUUUCUAGAUACUUCAAAUACUCUAGAUCAAGUUUAACGGAACCGAUCGAUGAUUCGAAAGUUGCAACAUCGAAGGCUCCGUGCUUCCAGAAGCAUAGUAGCUUCACUCAUAUUUUCAUUUGUCUUUUACUUAACCCCGUUAUAUUAAUUAGGAUGUAAAUGGGCUAGGUCGGGCCAGGCUAGACUUGGGACUGUUAUGACCGGUUUAAGCCCGCUUUAGCCCAAACUGGAACCUACGGAGCUAAGCCUGGGCCUGGGCCAAAAUGAAUAGGGUUUUACUAAUUCAAUUUGGAUUGGAAUCGGCAUGAGGUAGGAACAUGAAAAGGGGUAACACUUUCUUGUAGCCGGUCGCAUUCGAUCGUAUUCAACAAUCAGGUAAGUCGAGUUCAACAAUCAUGUUAUGUCGUGUAAUUUCGAGGUUACAGGUGGUCGUGUUGUGUUGAUUUCAAGUUUAAUCAGGUUAGUCGUGUUCAACAAUCGUGUUAUGUCGUGUCAUUUCGAGGUUAUAAGUGGUCGUGUCAUGUUGCUUUCAGCAGGUUUGAUCAGGUUAGUCGUGUUCGACAAUCAUAUUACAAUCAUGUCGUCUCGAGGUUACAAGUGGUCGCGUCGUGUUGAUUUCAAGUUUCUUCAGUGAUUACUGGUCAUGUUUGCAACAGCUGGAAUUUGAAAUUCAGUUCAAAACCAAGAGCCAAAUUGCUUUUGUUCCAGGCAUAAUUUUGAGUAGGGAAAACAAAAAAGGCACUGAACACAAUGAGGAAAAAUUAAUACAUAUUUCACUUUGUGGAGAACACAAAGAUGUUAAAGAAGAUGGCUUGUCCAACAGAAAAGAGAUACAAGAGUGGUUCCUUAAAACAAUGAGCUACUUAUAAAUUAAGUAUCUUGUUAUAUAUAGAGGUGGGUUAACCAAGUCUUUCAAGCAUCUUUGAACUGGUUGAUAUCUACAAAUAUAUUGUCAAGUGGUUCUUUUCAUCAUUAAUAUUAAGUUGAUUCGAAUAGAAAAUAAGAAACCGAUGUUCGAAAAUGAUUAGGACUCGAUCCCUUUAGUUACUUUACACUCUCGAGGGGAUAUUCAUCGAUCGCAUGCUAGCUAUGACUUCUACGAUCGGCAAUAAAUUAACCACAUUGGCCAAUCAAGAUUCUCGAAUUGCGUAGCUGCUCAGCUGUUCGAAUACAACGGUUUAUCGUUUUCUAGGAGAUUAUUCCACUUUAUCUGCUUGGCUAAUUAAUGAAGAAAGGUACUUGAAGAUAAAUCCAAUUAGUGUAAAUUGUUUGGUGUGGUUUAGAGAGGGAGUUAUGAGCUAACUCUUGUGUUAGUUAGCACCACCACCACCCAACUACAAAGAUGUGAAAGGCUUUUCUCUCAUUGGAGGCAAAUUGCGGGAAACACAAGAAGAUAAAAACUAUACCCAUCACUUUCAUUAAACAGUUUUGCAAAAUGUUAUUAGUCAAAUAGAGAGGUCAAACACAUUCUAGGUUGAUUAUGUACAUUAAUUACAUCUUAAUUUGGCUUUUCUUUUCUCAUAAACAUCAUGUAUAUAUAUGCUUAUGCUAUACGUAACCGUAUGUUGCUUUACAAGCUCCAGCACUACUACUAAAACUAACAAGUAAUAUGUGACAGUGAUAGCCCAACCACAAGGGAAAAAAAUUAAAAAGAAAAAAGCCAAGAAAAAGAAAACUCUUAGCUGAUAUCUAAGACUAGUUCCAUGUUGAAUUGAUUAAUUUGUUGACUAAUUACAUUACCCAAACAUUACAUAAGUUAGUAAUGUGGAAAGUGAAGCCUCUAGAUCACUUCCACAAGAUGAAUUUACCCACAAGUAACCUAAGUAUUUAAGGACUUUAAUCACAAAUCAAUUGGGCAUGCAAGGAACGGGUCAAAUUAAAAGAAUUUGGUUAUGGAAUCAGUUACUCUCUUCUGAGUCACAUCUAUGGGCUUGUCAUAUACAUGUUAUUUUAAUAUAAAUAAUUAAAUGCCCACGCAAAGGGCCAAUAUGCAUAUCAGCAUAUAUAUGCCAAUUUCAUGGUACCACAAUAUUCUAAUGAAAAUUAAUACAAUAGUAAUAAACAUAUAUAACAGUGGUAAUUAAUCUUGUACUUGUUACACAAAAAAUGAAAAAGAAAAGAAGGAAAACACAUUAUAUAACAUACAAGUUCCACUAAUUAUAUACAUCUUAUAAGAGCGUUAUGUAUGUGGAUCUCAAUGUAUAGUUCAGCAAACUAAUAUGCAUUGUAUUUAGUUGGGAUUGGAAGAUAAAUUAAUGGUGAUUUUUGAGUGUCCACUUCGUAUUAAGUUCUGAGUAGCUAUAUAUUGACUAGAAAAAGUCGGAGCGAAAGUAUAUAUAUCGAACAAUGUGCUUUUCAAUGUUCUAGUUGCACCAUAGAUAUAUAUCAUAUAAUAAUCAAAUUGUGUGAACACUCUACACGACAAAUCGGAUAUUUUUCCAUCGAACUCUCUUACCAUGCGUGAUACCCUGUAUGCGCCAAUGGGCUUAAAUGGGCCUAGCACUAAAUGGGCCAUAGUGCCGGGGGAUCUGGCUUGGGCUUGGCCCAUUAAUUAGCCAAAUUUAUGGUAAUUCUUACAACCACUACCAUUGAUACUAUGCCUAAUUGAUGGUUUUCUCAAAAAGAUGCAUGUCUAUAGCAAAAUGAAAAUUGUUUCUUUUUCAAACUCAUAUAUAACAAUCAGAAUAUCCUAAUUAACUAGAUCUGAUCAUGUAAGAUUAUGGGCACAUGGCUUGUAGAUGAAACCAUUAGCUAAUUACUUUUGUUAGUGGAAUUGGUUACUUGAGGAACACUCUCACCCUUAAACAAACACUAAUCUAUUCCAUUUAAAUCUAUCAUAAACCUCCAUUAAUUGCACUCCCCACCCACAUAAACCCUAAGUGGUGAAACUCCAUUAUUCAUGAGAACACAAUCAAGUAAGAGGAGGGGGUGGGGAAGGAGACAAGCUUGAGGCAGAUGUGUUUGGCCAACACCCCAUUAGCCACACCAAUUUUGGUCCAUCCUUUUCAUCCUCACUCUUCUAACGCCACCCACCCCUCAUCCUCCUCACCUCCCCCUCCCCUUCCCAAGGGACCCACUAGUCAAAGUGCCCCAAAAACCCUAAACUACACUCAACUUUUUUAAAGUAUAUUGUUUGGUCCAAUUCUAGGGUUUUUCCAUAGAGUUCUUUAACACCAAAAUAAUUUCAGCUCACCAAAUAAAAACGGCCCCACUAGAAAAUUCUCCCAUCACUUUACACCCCUAUAACUAGAAGUNCCCCCCUAACAAACCCUCACAUCCAACUCUCAUGCAGUACUUGUCCUCUCCUCUUCACUACUUCACUGACACCAUGGACUCAGCGAACCAAACCGCCCUCUCCGAUGGCGAAGGCGCGACGACCGCCGCUGCAGCCUCUAGCAUGGCCAGCUACAGCUUACUCCGGCUCCUGCCGGAGAUUCAGACAGUCGAGAUCCUUCUCGCCCUCGCGAUCUUCGUAACAAUUCACUCGCUGCGCCAGCGCAAGAGCCACGGCCUGGCGGUGUGGCCGGUGGUCGGCAUGCUCCCGUCGCUUCUCCUCGCCCUCCGUGACGACAUGUACGAGUGGGUGACCCGCGUGCUCGACGAGCAGGGCGGCACAUUCACCUUCCGCGGGCCGUGGUUCACCAACCUCCAGUGUGUCGUCACCGCCGACCCCCGCAACUUGGAGCACCUCCUCAAGACCAAAUUCUCCAGCUUCCCUAAGGGCCCCUACUUCCGCAACACCGUGCGCGACCUCCUAGGUGCUCAAACUUAAACUGUUAGAGAACAUAAAACAGCUUUCUUUCUUUCUUUCUUUUUUUUGAGAAAAAAAUACCGCACUACACACUUCAGUUAUUUAACAAAUAAAUCUAGCUAUAUAGAGUGAGACAGCAAGGUCAUUCAGUUCUACAAUACUCGGCCCACUCUCUCGUCAAUAGUGUCGAUAAAUAAAACAGCUUUCGAUUUUAAGUUAUGAAAGAACGGUAUUUUUUAUACUUUCAUGCUGAAACCGUAGGCGACGGAAUCUUCGGUGCGGACGACGAGACGUGGCGCCGCCAACGAAAGGCUGCGAGCCUGGAGUUCCACUCGGCGGAGUUCCGCUCGAUGACGGUGAGCACCCUCUACGAGCUGGUCCACAAGAGGCUCCUGCCGGUGCUCGACGAGGCGCACGAGAGCAGGACGGCCGUGGACCUGCAGAACGUGCUGCUCCGGCUGACCUUCGACAACGUGUGCAUGAUCGCGUUCGGCAUCGACCCGGGCUGCCUGCAGCUGGGGCUACCGGACAUCCCCUUCGCUCGUGCGUUCGAGGACGCGACGGAGGCCACCAUCAUCCGCUUCCUCACCCCGACCGCCAUCUGGAAGGCGUUCCGCCUCGCCAACCUCGGCAACGAGCGGCGCCUCGCCCGGUCACUGAAGCGCGUCGACGAGUUCGCGUACGAGGUGAUCCGCACGCGCAAGAAGGAGCUGCAGCUUGACGCGUCACGGGGCGGCGCGAGGUCGGACCUGCUCACGACGUUCAUGAGGCAGCGCGACGAGGACGGGCGCGAGUUCUCCGACAAGUUCCUGCGCGACAUCUGCGUCAACUUCAUACUGGCCGGCCGCGACACCUCAUCGGUGGCGCUGGCGUGGUUCUUCUGGCUGCUGAACAAGUACCCGGAGGUCGAGGCGAGCAUCGUGGCCGAGCUGAGGAAGAUCGUGAAGGAGCGGUCGCCGACCGCUGCCGCGGCGGACGCAGAUGAAGGGGGAGAGGAGGGGGAGUUGGUGUUUCGGCCCGAGGAGGUGAAGAGGAUGGAGUAUCUGCAGGCCGCGCUGUCGGAGGCUCUCCGGCUGUACCCGUCGGUUCCGGUGGAUCACAAGGAGGUAUACAUACGCCUGCAUACUAUUGAUAGUAUAGAAAUAGUGUUUACUAUCAACUUUUUAACCAUUAAAAGCUUAGAUAUCGUUUGGUUCGGAGAUAAACAAAAAAUGACUAUUUCAGGGAUAUAUAUAAAUUGAGAUAUAAGCGAGGAUUAAAUCAAUUUUGCGUUUGAAUGAAAAAUUGAGUUAUUCCUGCGAAUAAAAAAAAUAGCAUUUAAUUAGGUAAGAUGAAAUAAGAAUUAAAUUGGGUACUCAUAAAUAAAAAUAAUAAUAUUAUCCCUUUCUUUACAUUAGAAUUUAAAUUUUUAUAUUUUAUAUUUAUAUUUUAGAAUUUAAACUAUAAACUUUAAAAUUUGAAAAUUUUAAAAUCUCAAAUUUACAAAUUUAAAAAAAUAAAAUUUUAAAUUUUAAACUUUAAAUUUAAGAUGAAAUUUUAAUUUAAAAAUACAAAAAUAUCAAAUACAAAAUUAAUUUUUUAACUUACAAAAUUUAAAUUUUAUAAUAAAUUAAAAGAUUCUCUCUCUCUCUCCUCUUCUCUCUCUCUUCACCGUGGAACAAGCUGGUUAUCCAGCUUGUUUGGUGUUCCACCGUGGGUGGAAAGUAUUCCCACCUCUUAACAAGCUAUUCUAGAAUAGCCUAUUAAAGUGGAAAUUAGUGUUCCACAUUUUUUUUUUAUUCAAAGAAAAUGGAUGGAAUCAAAUCCUUAUUCCACCGCUAAACCCCCUAAUCUAGUUGAUUCAAUUUCCACCAUAAGUUUAUUUCUAAAUGAAAUAAACGAAGCGGAUAGCGUACUACUAUCUCUCGCAAAAAAAAAAAAAAAAAAAAAAAAAAAAAAAAAAAAACAAUACGCUGGUGGAAGCCCUAGGCCCAAAAACAUGACAUACUACGUAUAUAAGUAAAUAUUAUUAUACCUACUAUAUAUGUUCUGAAGUGUACAUAAUACGUGUAUUAUUUCAUGUUUUAAAAAAAUUACAAGUGAGCGAUUCAUGUUUUAGGAGCUUGUAUAUAUGCGUGUGGAAACAUUUAAUAUGUGCAUGCAAAAUAUAGGUUUUAUGUCUACCUUUUAGCUAUUUAUUAGGUAGUAUAGAUAAAAUUAAUAUAUAUAUAUAUACUUGAUUAAUUAAUUAUUAGAGACCAGUAACACUAUUAUUCAAAAGGGCAUGAGGAUUUCGAGUUUGGGAGUAAAUUUGCAUUGAUGGUAGUUGGAACUAACUUGUCCUUAAUGAUACCAUUAUCUAGCAUUUCUCACUUAUCUAUGUAUGACAACACUAAUCAUGUGAGUUCAUUGGGAACUUAUUUUUCCUCUUUUUAAUGCUAUAAUUGGGAACCAAUCUGUGUCUUUGUGUUUGGCUAAUGAACCUAAUAAGUGAGUGGUUUAAUUAAGGAGUUCAUUUAUAGUUUGCAUUUAUAGUUUGCAUUUAAUUUCCUACUUUUCUUUUUUAGUUCCUUCAUAUGUAGAUAGGUAAAGUGUCCAAAAGGGAGUUAAAUUAAGUUCAGGGCUUAUUUUAAAGUAACCCAGCUUGAGGGUGUGUCCACAUAUUUUCACCUUGAUUGAUAUAUAUCCAACAACUGUUCUGCUAAAUAACAGAACAUGUCAAUUUCUUUUGUACUCCCUUUCCUUUUCAAAGAUAUACAUAGGAUUUUUUUUGCUCUUUGGUCCCCAGUAAGGUCCUAAAACUUUUCUUAUGGCCAUAUCACAAGAUAUUGACCAAACUUGAUCUUGUCAUUCACAUAAGUAGUUUCUUGUGUUACAAUUCACACGAUAUUUCACUUUUCUCAUUCUCAUAGCCAAAGACUUUGGAUCCCAUUCCAAUAUUUAUAUAGCAAGAUAUGUAUGUUUAAUUAGGGUUACAUGCUUUGCUCCAAUUGUAUUAGUUUACCUCCUCAACAAUUUUUGUAGUUGGUGCAUGGUCCAUUCACUCUAGUGGGCCCUGUAGGUUAAAAGAUGGUGUGAUAAAAUCUAGUAGCCAUAUAGGUAGGUCACCUGGAUUCACCUGCUUAUAAGCUACUCUUUAGCAUGAUUCACCUACUAAUCACAUUAAUUAAAGCCAAAUAAAUAUUUGAUCUUAAUUAGGUUGACCUCAACUUUGCCUUACAUGUAAACAAAUUAGAUAUCUUACUCACCAAAUCACAACUAAUGAACACUAUAUACUAACUCCUUAUGUUUGAAUUAAGUGGCUAUUCAAAGUUUCUUCUUCUUUUUUUUUUGUAACAAAAUUUUCACAUAAUCACAAUAUAUGUACAUUUGCAUGUGUUUCAAACAGGUUGUGGAGGAUGAGGUAUUCCCUGAUGGCACAGUGCUGAAGAAAGGAACAAAGGUCAUUUACGCGAUGUACUCGAUGGGGCGAAUGGAGAGCAUUUGGGGGAGCGACUGUCGCGACUACAAGCCCGAGCGGUGGCUCAAGGACGGUCGCUUCAUGAGCGAGUCCGCUUACAAGUUCACCGCAUUCAACGGCGGCCCACGUCUGUGCCUGGGAAAGGAUUUUGCCUACUAUCAGAUGAAAUUCGCUGCGGCCUCCAUUCUCUAUCGGUACCAUGUCAAGGUGGUCGAGAACCACCCGAUCGCCCCGAAGAUCGCCUUGACCAUGUACAUGAAAUACGGGCUCAAGGUGAACCUCCACAAAAGAGACGACGCAACGCUUCUCGAAACAUAGAAGGGGCGCGAAAAGGGUUAAUGUUGAUCAGGGUCAUAGUUUAUACUUGAACUAUUCUAAGGUAUAUGGGAGCUGCAUUUGGAGAUGGUAUGUGAAAAGGUUGAUGCAGCAGUUAUAUGUGGAUUCUUUAAACUCUGCACUGUUUCUCCUGGUUUUGUUUUUUGUUUGGUUAUUCAUAUAUGACUUGGUGUAAUGUAUAAUGAAGUUGAAAUAGUAUAUAUAAUAGGAACAAAGCGAAAUAAAGUGAGUUGAGAUAUGUGCAUAUAUGUACAUGUCCAUGAUUCACUUCCCUACAUUUUUAAGUGUUUGAAUGAGGUUGAGUUUUAUUUUCACUUUAUCAUGCUGCUUUAAUGCGAGGCAAAAAAAGUAAUAGGAAAUUAAAUUAAUGCGAGAUUAAAAAUUACAUCAAUUAAGCUGUUGCUUUUUCUAAAUUUCUUUUCACUUUUCCUCAUAAAUAUCCAACAUUCUAAUGCUUUGUUCCUUAACAAUCAUAGAAAUAACUCUUCUCCAAUGUAUAAAUUAAUGAAUGCAAGGAAAAAAUAAAUAAAUAAAGAGAGAGAGAGAGAGAGAGAGAGAGAGAGAGAGAGAGAGAGAGAGAGAGAGAGAGAGAGAGAGAGAGAGAGAGAGAUGGACCGUGUUGGGCCCAUUAUGAGCUCAAAUAUGGGCCGUUGUAGUAUUUUGUUAUCGAAGCCCAAACCCUGUUGGGCCCUGUUUACUUCGAAAGCUUAUUUUAUUUUAGCUUCUCAUCUCUAUAAAAAUUAUUUUUUAAUGUUUUCUAAAUGGUUAGCUUAUGUUUUUCUGAAGUUAAGAAAUAUUGUUUCAUAAUCUACGCCAUAAAACACACAUGUCCCGCGAGAUCGAUCUAAAAUAACUUUAAAUAGAACUAAGUUGACGCUUGUUAAUAUAUAACACACUACAACAAAAACAAUGUAUAGCAUCAUUUAUAAAUGUCGAUACAGCUCAAAAAAAGUAUUGCUGAUUAAAUUAUCGACACUUUUUUAAAGUGUUGCUAUCUGUGGAAUCGCUAUCUGUGGAUCCGUCUUGAUAUUUGACACCCACUCCUCCAGCGACCUAUGGCGAAGAGACACGUGACGAUCGUAGCCCUCUACGGUUCCUACGAGAUUCUCGCGGUCGAACUCCAGCCGUCAAAACCCUAUCUCGUCGACUGCGGCGGCGGAGGAGGAGAAGGAGAGAUGGUAAUCAAUUUUUCUUUCUUUUUUUUUGCUUUUCUAUUUGUAAUUGGGCCGAGUAGACUGAAUGGAGUUGAUUGAGUAGAGAAACUUUUUGAUUUUGAUUGAAUUGAGCUUCAUAUUUAGACCUUAGUGGAUUUUUUUUAAAAAAAAAUUGACAUAAAUGAAACACUUACACAAAAAUAUUUUAAAAAUAUGUUCUUAUAAUUAACAUAAUUCUGUUCUAGUGACAAUUCUAUUCAAAUAACAACUUUAUGAAAAUUCCUACUCAACCAAAAGUCUAUUUGGUCCUAUAAAAUUGCUUUUAACAGCAGCAAGUUUUUACCGACCGUCCCUAGAGCAUAUGGCAAAGGGCUUGGUGGUUGGUACCCGAGACCCAAGUUCGAAUCCUAGUUGAUUCACAUUUCUAGCUAAGUUUAUUUCUAAAUGAAAUAAACGAAGCGGGUAGCGUGCUACCGAUCUCUCAAAAAAAAAAAAAAAACAGCAGCAAGUUUUAUAAAACUUCUAGUACAAUAAGAGUAAAAAAAGAUAAUUCUUUGCACGAAAAAAAAAAAAGAAAAAAUAAUCUGCAGGUUUGUGUUGAUAAAAAAAAAUAAAUGCCAAAGGUAUAAAAAAAAAAAAAAUGUACACCUGCUAACAUUUCUUGAAGAAAUGUGAAAAUUUGUAAGGUUGCAAUUUUCAACUUUAGGUGACAAUUGAUAAUGAUUAAUAUUCGAGGGGUCUAAAGGAACUCAAAAAUGCCCCAACAAAUUGAGAUUCAAUGUCAAUUAAUUAAGGCUAUGUUGAUCAAAGUUGCUUAAAUCAUAAAUUCUAAUAAAAGAAUACGACAUCAUGUAUUAAUUCACAAAUACAGUACCAAAAUUGACUUUGCACAAGUGCACCUUAUUUUUCUCUCUUUUAAAAUAAAAAAAACAUUUAAGAUUUUGUAUGUUUUGACCAAAAAUAGGUGAAUGGUUCCAAUUAGAGUCUCAUAUUUUAAUCACAUGUAUAAAUCAAUCAAAACUCUCUAUUAUAUAUAUAUAUAUAUAUAUAUAUAUAUAGAGAGAGAGUAGGCUGGUAUGCUUAUGGAAGCACGGAGCCCUCCGUGCUUCCACUUUGUUUUCGAUGUUCGGACUUUCGAAUCGACGAUCGGCUCCGUUAGAGUUGAUCUAGAGUAUUUGAAGUAUCUAAAAAAUAAAUUUUGUGAUUUUUCGAUAUCGUGUGCCUAAUGAUCGAAGGGGCUCAAAAUCAAUAAUUUUAACGGCCGUGGUGAGCCGGUUGCAAGUUUAACGGUGUAGAAAUAUCCAAAUCGCAUGAAAUUUUGAUAGAAAAUUCUUUAUACCAUAUAAAACAAGAUCAAUAAUUUUGAUCUAAAAUUUUAAUGUCAUAUCAUCAUAUUUUGUAAGAUUUUUAUUUUCAGCCGUUGAUUUUGAGCCACUUCGAUCACUAGGCAAAUGAUAUCGAAAAAUCGCAAAAUUUAUUUUCUAGAUACUUCAAAUACUCUAGAUCAAUCUACGAAGUCCGGUCGUCGAUUUGAAAGUCCGACUACAAAACAAUAGAAAGUACGGAGCGCGUCCGUGCUUAUUCCAUAAGCAUACCAAUGCACUCUAUAUAUUAUAUAAUAAUUAUAUUAUAUAUAAAUAAUAUAUAUAAAUAAUAUAUAAUUAUACAUAUAAAUAGUUAAGUAGGCUACUAUACUCUAGAAGUAUAGAGCCCUUCGUAUUAUAUAGUUAUUUCGAUAUUGGGCUUUCAAAUCGACGAUCCACACCAUUAAAAAUGACUAGAGUAUUUUGAAAUUUUAGAAAAUAAAUUUCGUAAUUUUCGAAAUUAUAGAAAAAUCAUCAAGCGGGUAUAAAAUGAAUGAUCAAAAUCGAACGACGUCUUAAAAAUAGAUGAUUGAAUCAUUUCAAUUUAAGAUUGAGUUAUUAAUCUUUAUCUAUGUAGUGAAUAGAAUUUCUAUCAAAUUCAAUUGUUUUGAUUCUUUAUACAUUAAACUAGCAAAUAUUCCAUACGGCUAUUAAAAAUUGUCAAUUUUGUGACCCUUAGAUCGUAAGUAAAUGAUGAAAAAAUUAUAAAAUUUGUUUCUAAACGUUUAUAAAUGCUCUAGAUAAUGUUUAACGGUAUGAUCGUCGAUUCAGAAGCUCUAUCAUCAAAAACAAUUAUAAGUACGAGGCGAUCGUACUCAUAAGAGUAUAGUAGCCGGACUCUAAAUAGCUAAAAAAAAAACAUUUUGGAGUAUCUGUAGCAAUACACUAAAAAUACAUCCGCACUAAUCUAUUGCAUUACGACCAAAUUGAUCACUUUAAUACUUAACUAUUCGCUGUCAAUUAAUAGUUAAUAAACUAUGCCGAUCUAAGUUAUAGGGCAUUUUGAACCGGCUACCUACUCAACCUUUUAAAAUUUUGAUUUUAUUAUCUAAUUUUUCAAUUUGUUUGAUUUGACUCGAUCAACAAUAUUUUACAGUACAAUUGACUGACUCAAAUAAAACAAACUGGAAAACUGGAUAGUAAAUUAAAAUUUUCAAAAAGUUGGAUAUCGGCAUCAAAAUGAUCCAUAAUUCAGAUAAGUUCUAUACAUUUUUGCCUAUUUAAACUCCACUUCAAUAAAUUAAACAAAAUUUUCAAAUUUAUUUAAUCUACAGUUUCACGUACAACAUUGCUUAAUUAAAAUAUAGAGAAUCGAACAACAUGACCAAAUGAUGCACAGGUACAUAUAUCCACAAAUUAAUUAGAAGUAAUUAAUUACUACGUAUUACAACAAAGGUGUCCUCCAUAUAUUGCAUGUAAAUGGACGGUAGUGAUUUAGUGAAGCUAAUUGAACGGUGGAUUGCAUUGGCACGUAAACAUGCAUGCGUACGUUGAGAGGAUAAUCUUCUAGAAUAUUAUAUAUACAACGUACAUAUUUUAUAUUUAUAUAUAUAUAUAUAUAUAUAUAUUUGUCAUUAUAUAUAUAUAUGUAUCUUAUAGCAUCUUAUUAUUAAAUUUUUAGCAAAAUAAUUAAAGUAACUAAUUAAGAAGGAAGUUGUCAACGCUACACCAUUGAAUUAAUUAAUUAAUUAGAUUCAAAUUUAAUUAUUUAUGCGGUCAACUUUAUCUGUAUAGAUAGUUAUAAUUUAAAUUGAAUUUGUUGAAUGUUGCACGUCAAAUGGAGUAAUUAAGUCACGGGUUAGUUGUUGUAUAUAUAGAUUAGAUUUUCUCACUCAUACAUGAUCACAUAUUAAUUGUUUAUUAUAUAUUACACAUUUAAAAGAGUUGGUAUGUGGAAUAAUAUAUAUACAUAUAUACAAGCUUUUUUGUUUUUCCUAUGUUAUAAUGGAAUCACUUUAUAACUACAACGUGAUAUCUUUUGCAGAAAAAAUUAAUAGAAUACUUUUACAUCGCACUUAAUCAGCGUAACUCCAAACUGAGCUUAGAUGUAACUUUUUUUUUUUAUUAUAGUUUUAUACUCCAACAUGUAAUUUGUUUAUGGUGAUCAAAUUAAAUAUGACAUGUUUUAAUUGUGGGGAAUUAAUAUCUUGUAGAAAUAUUCAGUUCGAUGCCGUGUAAACGGGGAGUCAAAUUCACGUGGAAUUCACGUGACAAUUUGGUGUAUUUUUUUUCUUAAUUAAAAUGUGGAGAGCAUGGAAUUAAUGUGGGAGUUGAUGGGCAUAAAACAGUUGGAUGGAGUGAUGAGAAUCUCGCGUUACAAUUUUUUUAAAAAAAAAAAUUAGUGGAGAAUAAAAAUCAAAUAUAUUAGUAUAAUAUAGUAUAAAGAAUAUUAUACAAAUGUUACACUAAUUGGAUCAAUCCAAUUAUCCAAAAGCUACCAAAAAAUUAGUGAAAUAUAUUGGCAUUAUGUUCUUUAAAAAAUAUACCAUUAAAUAGCCAAAUCGACCUUUAACUUAUUUAAAUACAAGUAUUGAGGUACUCAGAUGCAAAAUAAAAGGUUUUUAUACAUGUAACCUGAUUGUUACAUGCAAAUAUUUUAAAAUUUUUAUAUUUAAAAAAUAAUAAUUUGGUUUAUAAAAAAAAAAUUACUCUAAACAGUUAUUUGCAAAGAGGAUCUUUCAAAGGUAAGAUAUUAGAUAUAGCUAAACAUUUUAUUUUAAUUUUAAAUUAUGUAAUUUAGUUUAUCUCACAUCAUCGAACUCGCGUCCCACUCUUAUUACAUGCUAAAAAUUAUUAAAUAAUUAUUUUCAAAGUGAGCAAAUAAUAAUCUUAAACCCCUCAAUUUUUUUAAUUAAUUACUAUUUAAUUUAUUCUCACUCUUCUCUUUUUAGUUACAACAAGUCAUGAGUUCCCUCCACCAACUACUUAAUUAAUUGUUCUUUAGUUAUAUUAUCUCACCAUAAUAACAACUAAUUUAACCCCCAUAUUAAUUCUCUCUCAUUCUUUUUCCUCCUUUAUUAAGAGGAGCAAAUCCUUGUGUUAAAACAAGAACAAAAAAAAAAAAAAAAAAGGAGAAAAAGAAAAAAAAAAACUCUAUUCUCUUCUCUCAUAUGCAUACUGUAUCGAAACGCGGUUACGGUUCGGGAUUGCAUUCUUCGGCCUGGAGUUUUAUCUCAUGUUUUUGUGAUUCGUCGGAUAAGGUUACCUCGAAACCGUCGAGCUCGAGCUCGGUUUCGCGGUGGGGAUCGUCGCCGUGGUGGCGGUCGAGGCUGCGGCGGACAAAGCGCACCGUGCCAGCGGAAAACGCGGCGGCGGUGGCUGCAACGCGCGGCAGGGGAACCGCACGGUGGAGGAGAUUCUUCGAAAGGUCUCGUAAGGUGCGAGUUGAAUAUAAAUAUGAAAAAAAUUAUUCUUUAGUAGCUUAAACUUUUAUGGAAAAUAAUUAUUUCAUAUAAUUUCAUGCUACGAGUGCAAAAUUUAUUAAUUUUUCUUUUCCACCGAUUAAAUUUCUAUUGGUGUUCGUGGUGAUCGCCUUUAACUAAUUUUUAUUUGAUUAAUUUUAUGCUUUUUAAUUGCAUUUUGAUUUUCUCUGAUUUAUUGUUAUAUAUUAGAUUUAGCUAGUAGUUUUAGAAAAUAAUUAUAGGUUGUGUUAAUUAAAUUACGAAUUAUGCUUUAUGGUAGUAAAUUAUAAUUAAUCCAUCCAUCCUUAGAUUACAAUCUCGAAUCAAUUAAUUGGAAGCAUAUUCUUAUUUAAAUAUAAUACUAUAAUUUACAAGUAAAAUGAUAUCGGAUAAAUUCGUUUGAAAUUAAAGCAUUGGUUUUGUUUGUAAGAAAUAAUUAAAACUUUUAGUCUAAAUAUUUUAUUUUUUAUAUUUAAUCGUUCUGUGUAUAUAUCUAUAUUUGUACUUUUAAAUAAGUUCAGAAUCAUGGCUUAAAUUAUAUAAAAAAAUAUUUAACAAAGCAAAAAAAAAUCUGAUAAAAUUUGUAUUUAGAAUCUCGUGAUUUGAUUGGCUAUGCUGAGCGGAAAUUUAUUAAAAGUCUCCUCAAUCAGUUCUCACUGAGACAGUUUAGUGAGGUGUACAAUUCAUCCCGAAUUCGUGCCUUAAAUGCCUAUUUCAAUAUAAAAUCUUUUCAAAAAAUCAAUAAAAUUGAAUAAGAAGCUUCUCAAGUUUUGUGUGUGUGUGUGUGUGUGUGAGAGAGAGAGAGAGAGAGAGAGAGAGAGAGAGAGAGAAAAAGCAUGUUUGCUCACGUGUGAAAGAUGUUAGAGUUCAUUUCCCUUCUAUUUAUGGAAAAUUUGAAAACGAUAAGCCCUUCGUUUUUUUUUUUUUUAACAAGAAAAAAAAAGGAAAAUGGGGGGUGAAAGAAAAAUUCUCUAAAGGAUUUUGAGAAAGACGUUGAAAAGCAAGCGGGGUCGAGAAAUUGUUGCCCCGCAGACGCAGACGCAGACGCAUUCAUGCACGUACUGCACUCUUCUAUCCAUCCAUUUUAUUUUAUACAUUUCAAUCUGGUUAUUGUGCUGAGUAACGUCUCUUUUUCUAUUUGAAAAGAAAAAUAAUACUAAUCUUCUAGCCAAUAUUACUUGGAUUCGUUAAACAUUUAUUUAAUUUGGUUUAGAGAAAUCUGUGAACAAUAAUUAAAUUUAAUAAAUCUGUCACUUGAUUGUAAAAUUUGUUGCGUUACAAUGGGGAUGAGAUUUUGAAUAUAAAUAUUAAAGAUACUGUUAUAGAUUAAGCAUUUAGAAAAGAACAUUUUUUUUCAUAUUAUUUAGAGUUGAAGACACUAAAAGUUCGCUCAUAAUUUUAUUUAAUUUUUUUAUUUAACUUAAAUCUGCGUCUCUAGCUCUUUAGACGCACUAGGUGUACGCAACGAUUUCUCACAGGUGUAUGAGAUUUGUGGAUCUUAGUGUGUGUCUCAUAAUCUUGUUUUAUUCAUAAUUGCAUCACAUAAAAAUAUUUUUAGUAAAAAAUAAAAGAAAAAAAAAAAAGAGACAAAGCCUUUGACUAGUCCUAAAUUUGACUAAAUCUUCAUUGUUUGUAAUAGAAGAACCAACACCAGCGCCAACAACAACAGGAUCCAAAAGACCCGGUCCACGCCACCGUGGACCGAACAAUGCGCCCGGUCCACCACGUGGCAUCCAGGUGCACCGCCGGAAACAGUGAGCCCUCGCUGCUGUACAGCAUGGUGGACCCGGUCCAUGCCCGGAUGCUGACGACGAGCCAUCGCACCUCACCGGAGCACGGCGGACGACGUCUAUAUCGGCUGUAUGAGAAGUUAGGGUUUUGCGGAGAGCUCGACGCCUCCGCGGGCCUCCCCGUGCUCGCGGUGGUGCUCGCGGUGAUGCUGCUGUGCGGCCGGCUAUGCGCGGUGUUCUGCAUGGCUGCGUGGUUCUACGUGCUGCCGCGGUUUAGGUUGCCGGAGUCGGCGACCGGUAGUAGUAGUAGUACUAUGACAAGCGAAACGAAUAGCAAAGCGGCGAUCGCAGACGUCGACUCCGAGGAGUACAAGAAAAUGGUGGUGUUGAAGGGUUUUCUUGAGCGAGACCCGCGGCGGCCACCGAUGGCAAGCUCGCUCUCGUCGCACGCAUGACUAUUACUUCUGAGUUACGCAGUUUUUAAUUAUAUUUUUUUCUCUUAUUUGUUUUUGGCUCAAUAUUGUUGCAUUUUUGGCUAAUGUAUAUUUUUAUUACAAGAUGUUGUGAUUGAGAGGCUGAGACAAAUCAACAAAUAGGUUCACAAAUAUGUAAAAGGUUAUAUAUAUACAUGUAAAUAUGUAAUCGAAAAUUAACAAAAUAAUAACAUAAGAGAGACUCCCUGGAAUUGGAAUUAUCUGGUUCAACUGGUUUUCUUUUUCUUUUUUUUUUCGAUUGAGGUAACUGUUUAUUUUAAACUAUAUAUUUAAUCAUUUUGAAUUUAAGUUAUUUUUCUAAAAGGAAUUAGCUAGCUAGAGAUUCAUUACUUAAGUUAUUAGUCAUCAUUAGUUAAUGAAUUCCCUAGUUUCAUCUAGUAAAACAGUGUUCACAAAAAAUAAAAUUUUUUGUUGUUAUAUUUAGUAAACUUAGAAUGCAUCCGACUAAGUAAUAAAUAACAACUUAUUUGAAGAAAAAAAAAAUCGAAAGCAAAAAUAUACUUAGUACUAAUAAGUUUUUUAUUUUUUGCUGUCAAAUAAACAACUAGGAUGAAAAAAAAAAAAAAAAAUUACAAGCAAUCCACUAUCAACCCCUACACAUUUUUAUAAAUAAAAUUUUAUUUAAAAGAAAUUAAAAAAAAAGAUAAGCAUGAUAGGAAACGAAGCCUAAGAGUACAACAAUUGAAAAAAGUUGUUGAGAAGUCCAUUUCAAAAUGCCCUACAGAUGAAGAGUGAGGCAACAAUAAAUAGCAGAGAUAACUUCUAAGCAGAGUAUUACAUCAAACCAUUCUUCCAUAUUAAAGGGGAAAAAAAAACCCUCUUAUUAAUGCAUUCAAAUUCUGAUGUCCCAAUGUUGCAAUCAGAGUACAAAAUGCACCAAAACGUCAGUGUAACUGAUCUCAGCAAUGCCGCAAAUAUCGUCUCAGACCGAUUUCAGUGCCCUCACUUGUACAGCUGUUUCAAUCGCUUUGCCGCUUCGAGAACAUUCUCUCGAUGGCCAAAGGCGCUAACCCUCACAAAGCCUUCGCCUCCCGGUCCGAACCCGCUUCCCGGUGUAGUUACCAUGUGGGCCUUCUCGAGAAUCUCGGCAAACACGUCCCAUGAGCUCCGGCCCGGGAAGUGCACCCAAACGUAGGGAGCGUUCCUCCCGCCGUAAACAUCGAAGCCAAGUGAAGUGAAAGUAUCGACGAUGAUUUCAGCGUUCUCCUUGUAGAAUUUGACCACGUCGCCCAUCGCCUGCGUAAAUAAGUGAAGAAUCUAAGCGAUAGGAAUGGCUUUUGAGAUUCGAUGCGUUUGCGGUAUCUUAACAAUGUUACCUUUAAACCCUCGGGAGAAAGACAAGCUAGGCCACCGGCUUGAGCGAUAUUUGAUGCACCGUUAAAGCAAGUGCAGACUAUGCGAUUGAAGUCCUUGGCGACAGGAAACCCAUCAGAAAAGAGUAGCUCCUUAGGGACCACAGUCCAACCAAGACGGACACCAGUGAAUCCGGCAUACUUGGAGAAAGAAGAUGUUUCAAUCGCAACCUAGGAAUAAUUCAUCAUAUAUCUCAUCAGUUAUGGACAGCAUCCGACAGAAAGAAAGUGAGGUGUUUUGACGUAUAUGCUUCAGUGUCUAGACUCCUCGAUCACUAGAGAACGAUGUUCUAUUCAGCUGCCUAAAUAGAAUCUACAGUGGUAAAAUUCCGCUUCGAUAAAUAAGAAAUUUACUCUAUUUGUUUCUCUAGUGGCCGAACAUACAGAAUCUGUGGAAGGGACGCAGAAUCAGCUCAAGCAAAUAAUAUCAAAUACAAUACGCCAAGCAUGAUUUGAUAAUAUUCUAUGGAUCUUGUAACUAAUCAAAACCUAGAGUAACACACUCUAGCAUGGCUAGAACAAGAAAUCCUAUACAAAAAUGAAACGUUAACUAUGAAGUGAUUAAAAAAUUGUCUACAAACAAAACCAAAAUAUGAGGAUAAACAUUUGAAGAAAUUAGCAACACAACUGAGCUCACCUCUUUUGCUCCGGGGAUUUCAAAUAUAGAUUGUGGGCUGUCAUCUGAGAUAUACAUGGCAUAGGCAGAAUCAUAAACUAUGAUGGACCCGUUGUCCUUCGCAAACUGCACCAGCCUUGUCAAUUGAUCUCUUGAUGCAACAGAACCGGUUGGGUUGUUUGGCGAACAGAAGAAGAUGACAUCCGUUUGUGAAAUGCUUGAUAAAUCAGGGAAAAAGCCAUUGUCGGGCGUGCAUCUCAUGUAUUCAAUGUUCCCGUACUUCUGGAUAUCCUUCUGGUAUAAGCCAGUUUGCCCCAUGAUAACACUCGAAUCAACAUAUGCCUGUGAUUAAGAUUUGUUUACUGUUUAGAAUAUCCAGAAGCAUAAAAACCAACCGAAUCUUAUCACCCAUUUACACCAAAAGCAUAAAUAUCAACUGUAGCUUAUCUAGCAUUUGCACAAAUGUAUAGGCAUCAAGUACAUUAGCCCUAAAGGCAAUAUAGGUUUUCAUCUGCAAACUCCAUAUAACACAUGAAUGGAAAUGUAGCAAAAAUCUCUUGCCAAGUAUUAUGAGGAAGAAUGGUGCUUACAGGAUAUGACGGAUCUUGCACUGCAAUCUUGGCAUUAGAUCCAAAAAGAACCUGCACAAAAUUAAAAGCAAGCGAGUCAUUCACUAUAUCUAACGAGAAAACCAAAGUACAGCUAUAUUCUAAAGAGAUGUAUCAAAUAAGUAGAGUCAACAAGAUAAAGCACUUCAUAAACUUAGUUUCACAUAUAUCAGAGGUUCCGUAGCAAUAAAACUUAAACAAGAAAAUAAGAAUGCAAUGAGGAGGAGAUGAAAGAAAGAAAUAAGGAAACCUGGAGGCGAGAAAUGUCACACUUUGCACCAUCUGACACAAAUAUGUCAGUUUCUUCAAUACCUAGGUCUCUAUAAUAGGUUGAGGCUAUUGCAGCUCUCAGAUUCUGCACGAGAAGAUUAAAUAGUUGUGAGCACAAUUACAUGGAUUCAUAAAUUUUUUUAGCUUAAAAUAUGAAGAAAAAGUGAAAAAAAAUAUAUAUAUCUAUGAAAGCAGUAUCACAAAUUAACCAUAAAGGACAGAAGGUAAAUAAAAAAGUACCUUGUCACCUUGUUCAGCUCCGUAACCACUAUAACCCUCAACCAUUGAUAAAGCAUAUGCUCUCUACAAUGAUACCACAAAAAAAAAAAAAAAAAAAAAAAAAAAAAAAUCAUAGUUUAGCAGUAAUUGCUGACAGUUCGAGUUAUUAUUGGAGCCAAUUAUAGAUCGAACUUAGAAAAAUGGACAAAUAUUACGAAAACUUGGAAUCCAAACAAGCAAGACAGCAAAAAUCCCCUCCAGUUGUCUUAGAGAUAUGUGACACAAAAGUACGUGCUAAGAGUAAAUCAAAUUCUAAGUAUCUUAAAACCAAAACUUAUGCCAUCACUAUCUCACUGAGGAGGUAGAAGACCUCUAUCUAGAAAUGCUAAAGUGCAGGCAACCUCUAGUACCCUACGGCCUGGUAUAUUGAAAAAAAAAAAAAAUGAAGAGAAAGUCAAAAUCUAGAGCAAAAAAAAUUUAUUUUCUUCUGAUUCCAAAGCUUUUCAGUUUCAAUGACAAAAAAUAACUUGCACAUCCAGGACUUAAGUCGGAGUUAAAAAGAAUCAGAUCAAAUCAACACCAAAAGAAGAUAGAUCAAGUUUUAUCUGUCCGAUUCAUGCAACUCACUCAGAACGAAAAUGGCAAGGUCCAGAUCAUGGAAAAUGCCAUACUGGUGGCAUUUUCUCCAACAGGGUGCAAGCGAAAAUUGAUAAAUUGACUAGAGAAUCAGCAACCUUUCUGACAACAAUGUGAUGUUUAUGAUGAUGGAGAUGCUAUAUCUUUGUAAACCAAAGUGUAACUACAUUUUAAUUGAUAUACUGUACUUGACAGUCAAUUUAGUGCCAUCCUUUCACUACCAAACAUAGUUACAAUGAUGUAAAUCGAGAAAUAGAUUGCUUGAACAUUGCUAUAUUUGCAUGCUUAUAAAUACUCAGCUUAUGUCCUGUACAGAAGAAUCUCCUGUAGAACAAAUAACAUAAGCCUGUUGAUGGUUAUUGUAGCAGAGAUCCCUAGACGAUAUUGAUCUAGAUUGUUUGUGCAACUCUUGCAAAUAAUUUUCUUAACUCUAUACAAUUUUGUGGUGGAAAUAACUUAUGCUAUGCCAGUUCAGGGGCACAACAGGCACUCAUACAAUACACUAAUCAUAGAAAUGAUGCACAUAAGGGAUUGGAAAAGCAAGCAAAGGCAGUAGCAGGGUCUAAAUAAGUACUAUUAUUAAGAGUUAUGUGUGAAACAAUUUCCUGUACAUCUACAUGGAGUAUCUGUACAUGUAGAACAGUCUAAUUACACAAAUAUCUCAAAAUAAAAAGAGAGAAAUUGUCUUUUACAACAAGAAGCUCUAAAAAGAUAAGAACAGACUCCAAAAUUAAGUUGCAAGGAAAAUAAAAUAUACAGCACUUGUGAACCACAGCAUGUAAUUGCAAGAAAAAUUGUCCAGCUUUCUUAUCAAAAUACAUUACCUUAGCCAUGGCAGAAGUUAUAACAUCCGGGAUGGGUUCUGUAGUGUCACCAAUACCGAGGCUUAGCACUUGUGCAUCAGGGUACUUCAGCAAGUGAGCCGACCUCCUCCUAGCAAUCUGUUUCAACAAUUCAGAAGAGAUGUAUUACAAAGAGCUCAUACAGUAUGCAAGUUAGUUACCUACAUGUUUGGAGUUAUUUUAAAAAUUCAUAAAUUUUAUGGGCCUCUUGAAUGAGCAUGUUGACCGCGGCAUAAACAUUUGAUUUGAUUUCUACAAACAAAUUCUCACAGGCAACAUCUUGGAGGUCCAUACAGAGAUCGUUGAUUCUGUUCUGUACUACAUGAAGCAAAGUAGCCUCACCAUACGUUCUCCUGUUAUACAUUAGGAUAAUGGGAGCGACAUGAAGCGAUUGUUGCAGAAACAAGCUUUUAUUUAUUCGAAACAACAAUUAUAUCUAACAUGACAUAGGUAAAUGCUGCCACAGUGUGCUAACUUUACAGCUAAGAUUCAGAACUAAAACCCUAAUAGCGAAACCAUUAAACUGCUGAAUCAAACUCUCUGGUUGUAAACUCGGCCUGAUAAUUUGAACUUUGAUACCACCAAAUAGAUAGAAAGAAAAAGGAACAAAAGAUUACCUUGUGUUCAUUAUCAGCUUUAAACCUCAUUAAAUAUGAUUUUUAUAAUACUGAUCGAAAAGAUUAAAAAGAAAGAAAAACAAAACUACCAUAAAAUACCAACCUCCGGAAACAAAUAGCCAGCUUGAAGCUUCGCCAUAUUCUCAUUUCGAGCAACCUUUGUCUUGUAAGCUUCACAAAGUAGCAAGUGCCUCUCAGUAACUCCAAUUAAAUUUAACACAAUCAAGCAGGUCGAAUAUUUGAGUAUAAGUAAUUUACCGCCAAAUUCAAGUUCAAAAAGAUUCUGAGCAAGGAAUGCAACUUCAACAACAUGAUUUGCAAAAUGCGUAUGAAAAGGAAAAAUGGUCCAUGCAUCUCAUAAAGGAGCAGUUUUUUCACACUUGUUUAGCACAUGCACUUACCGACAAUUGAGCCAGCAUACACAAGUAACAAAUACCAGCAUAAAAUAGAUGUUAUAAGUAAUCAAGUUCCCCACUUUAACAACCUAUAUGUUGAAUGUAAAUAUUAAAAACACCAUUCUGGGGUAGCUCAAGCUAUUUUCACAGUAUUUACAGAGUAUCAGAACAGUAGGAUCAGGUACUUUAGUUGCGAGCCGAGAAUCAAGUGAAAACUACACAAUAUUUCACACAAUACAACUACUGUAGCACAAAAGGAGAUCAAAUUCAGAUGCAACCAUGGAGAGAAAGAGAUCACCAGUUUUCUCCGAGGGAGGGCUCGCCACGCACAAGCAGAUCCCUGGGCUUCUUCGGCGGAGAGAAGCACUCGGUUCUCUGAUCACACAAAACGAUAAACGAAUCAUUCAACACCCACACACAGAGAGAGAGAGAGAGAGAGAGAGAGAGAGAGAGAGGGUGCGCCAUGGGACCUGGUGGUGAAAGUCGAGGGGGACAAGAAGGAGGAGGAGGCGGCGGCGGAGGAGAGUUGGAUCGCCGACGACGACAUUUUUCGCCGGAAAAAAGCUUGCGCGGCGGCGGCGGCGGCGGCGGCGGCGGCGGCGACGUUGGAAACAGGAGAGGGUAUGUUGGAGUUAGGACUCGAGUAGUUGAUGCCCUUUUCUCAUUUUAGAAGGUGAAAAAAAUUAUAAAUUGCACCCUAGUCCCUAAACUCCUGGUAUUGUUUCAUUUUACUCCACAUACUUUUAAUUUUGCCUAAAAUGUAGAAAUUUUUUUUGUAAAUAUCUUAUUUUUUUACUUUUUCUUUCUGACUUUUCAAAAUCUAUAUUUUCCCACUUCAAAAUUUAAAGUUGAUGCAUUUAGCCCCACUUUGUCGAGGUUCUAUUAAUAUUUUGUUCAUUUCUUAUAAUUUAUACUAAAAAUAUUUUUAAAAGAAUACGUUAAAAUUUUAUUUUUUUUCUUAUAGAACAAGAAAAGAGAAUUUAAUUACUUCGCCUCAUCAUUAAAGCCUUAAUCCUCUGAAAAUAUUUCCAUAGUUUUAAUAGGACAAGAUAUAGAUUUCUGAAUAUUGGAUGCAAAAAGUGAAAAAUGAGAUAUUUACGAGAGGGUUUUUUUUUGUAGCCUUUAACUUUUAAUUUUAAACCUAUUUGUUUUACAAAAGGUAAAAUUUAAAUUGAAGUAGACUUUUGAUUAAACUAAACUUAUGUGAAAAUUACUUUUCUUCUUGUAUUAUUUAUUUGUGUAACUAUGAAAUUGAAUUUUCUUUAGUUUUGUUGUUUGUUGGUAAGAAAUAAAUAGCGUAAAAGCUGAAUAUGUGAGAGCUAGGUUAAUAUUUUGUUAUUUUUUCUCGCUUCUUUUUCGUAGUUGACUUCAUCCUAGGGUGAACCAAAGUCGAUUACGAUAUUUUAAAAGUUUUGAUUUUCGACCGAAAGUGAAGUUAUAAUGAACCAAACGACGAAAGUAAAUAUUUAUAAGCAAAAACUGUCGGAUCGUUGGCGCUAACCAUUAAUUUCAAAAGCUUGAGCUAUUAGAAAUGCGCAAUCAAUUCACUUAAAGCAUAUAGAAACAGCGCCAACGGGUCUCGAUUGUGACUCGGCCCACCUGGCCUUACGCCACUUCGAACAUAAUUCGGCCCAACCCAACCUCACGCCAUUUCGAAUAUGACUCGGGCUACAUGGCCUCCCACCACAGGGCAGGAUGCUGACCCAUUUAAGACAACAAUCCCUCCUCCAGCACCUGGACACAUUUGCAGCAUGCAGGAAUCGAACCUGUGACCUCUGGCUCUGAUACCACUUGUCGGAUCGUUGGCGCUAACCAUUAAUCCCAAAAACUCGAGCUGUUAGAAAUACGCAACAAAUUCACUUAAAGUGUACAGGAACAACGCCAACGGGUCUCGAUUGUGACUCGGCCCACUUGGUCUCACGCCACUUCGAACAUGACUCGACCCAACCCAGCCUCACGCCAUUUCGAACAUGACUUGGCCCACAUGGCCUCCCGCUACAGGGCAGGAUGCUGGCCCAUUUAAGCCAACAAAAACCACCUCACUUCUUUUCACUUUCGAUGAAAACCAACACCGUAAAACUAGUGAAACUGGAGUUUGAAGUUAGCACUCGCCUAUCUAUCCUUCAAAAGUUUUCGAUUUUUAUAUUUAUACCUCAAAAACUUUUAUACUGGAUUUUACAUCCCAGAAAAUCUAAAAUCUAUCCAAAUAAACACUCAAGUAGGAGUAUAAAUGAAUAACAGAUGAAGUAUAGAAGGUAUAUUUGAAACAUAAAGUAAGUAUGAAACUACAUAACUUUUAAAAAGCAAAAAAGGCUAUUAUUUUAAUAACAAAAAGAAAUAUAUAAUAUAUUUUUUAUUGAUCAAAAUAUCCUUAUUAAUUUCAAAAAAUAUUCUUAUAUAUAUAUAAAUCUCUAAUCCUAGGGUUUACCAAUAGGAUUUAGAGUUUAGAAAAAUAUAAAUUUUAAAAAUUUUAAAUAGCAGUAAGAGGUAUAUAAGCAAAAGCACCUCAAAAUUAAAAUCUUAGAACUAAUCGAUCGUGGGCCCGUUCCCGGUCGGCCGAAGAUAUUUAGUAUGAAUGGGCUGGACCGGUUCAUAGCCUAUUGGGCCUCCAAAAAAAUAAAUGGUUUUUGUAGCAUUUUUGGGCCCAAUAAGAUCUCAUACAUGAUACAUACACAACACAUGAAUGAAACAACAUUUGCAUACGCAUAAAUGACAAUAUAUUUAAGGGGCAAUUGCUUAUAUACCCCUGAAAAAUUUCCGACUUUCCGAUUUACUCCUCUUAGAAGACUAAUAUUGAAAAUGCUCUUUCUAUGUUCCAACCUAUUUCUAAUAUACCUCUAGAGUUAAAAUCCGUUAAUGAACUCUGUUAUCUCUGUAAAAUUACUAUUUUGUCCUUUCAAAUAUACUCUUCCACCAUCACCGACUUUCUUAUUUGCCUUUAAAUUCAGGGGCACAAAAAGUAUUUUGACUUUUGGUAUUUUUCAAUAUUCCCCUCUACCGUCACUAACAUUUCUUAUUUGCCCUUAAAUUGAGGGCAAAAUUGGUAUUUUAAUUUUUUUAACUGUCGUAAAUAUUUAACUCACGUUUAACCCAAGUUAACUUAACAGGAGAUAACUACGGAGGUAUUUUGCAAUAAUGGUGGAAUAUAUGAGGGGUAUUUUAAAAAGAAAAAAAAGUAUGGAUAAAUCGAAUAUUUUCAAACGUACGAGGGGUAUAUAGGCAAUUCUCCCUAUAUUUUUAAACUAGUACAGUGGUUGUUAUUCUCAGAUUGUCGACCUUCAAAUCAAGGAUUUGAUUUGAUAUGUAUGAGGGAUUUGAUAUAUUUAUUCUUUAGAAAAAAAAUGCUGGUCUUGCUGUGCCAAAGAGGUCCUGUAUGAAUAUAUGAAUAUCUUACUCGGUAUGUCUUUUUUGUAUUGAAAGUGCUUAAUGAAUGAACGAAGAGGACGACAAAACUUACAAUGACUAACUUAAAUUCGACCUUCAAAUCGUUUCUUCAAAAUCAUAGUUGGCCCCAAAGGAAGCUCAAAUCAAAUCCCUAAUUUACGAUCACAGAAGUAAAAUUCUUAUAUUAUGUAAAAUUCUCAAUUUACAUCAAAAUCGACUGUAAACAGAAGAGAUGUACUGAAUCCAGACACAAUAUUUAACCCACAAAUUAGGAUGUACGCAGAGGUUUCUAUAAAAAAUAAUGCUACUUGUAUGCCUAUAAGUAGCUAUAAAUAUUACACUCCACUCAUCCUAGAAUUUAUUUUUUUUUUAUAAAUUUUUACUGUGAUAAUCUUUGGAUGAACGGAAUAUAAAAUUUACACCUUAUAAAUAGGUACAUAGAUAGCAUUGCUUUAUGUGAAUGACAGUGACAAGGGGAUGUUUGGUUCCUCCAAAAAAAAAAGUAUAUAUAUUUUUUUAUUUUGAGAAUAACAUUUUUCAUUGGAAAGCUCUUUUUUCAGUUUAUGCAUGUUUGGUUUCAAAAAAAAUAUUUUUUUAAAAAAAUAAAAUUAUCCGGAUUUCAUGAAAAGUUAUUGUUUUCGGAAAACAGAAACACUAUUUUUCAUAAAAUCGAGAAUUUUUUUUUUAGAAAAACUAAAUUUUUAAAAACCCAACAGAUGAAAAACUGGAAAAAAAAUUACGAAAAAUUUUAAAAAAAAUUUCUACACUUUUUCCCGAAGAACCAAAAGCUCCUAAGGGUUCUUUUUUUUUAAUUAAAAAAAAAAGAAAAAGGUGGGUUAAGUCACAUGGCUAAAAUUGUGGCUAAUAAAUUAAAACGGGCUAAUAACGCGUCUGCGUUCAAACUAAGCCCAAGUGUGUGAACCACGUGGUCCCUAAAACAAAAUACUUAUUAAAAAACGUUACCAUGCACGUUGAUAUAUAUUAUAUAUAAAGUUAUAUAUAAACCCAAAUGCACGUGUGGACACACUUUUUAAAGUGGGAAAGUGCUUGAAAAUUAUCAAAUUUGGGAUUUGGGUGCGUUAGGUGCUGGUUAUUUGACAAUAAUGCAAAAGGGGCACGAUAAUUAAAAAAUUUAAACUAUCAAAAAAUAAUAUUUUAAUAUUUUAAAUUCAACAGGUUAAUUAAUUACAAUAACGAAUUGUUGUGUUUGUUUAUUUCUAAUUUAGCACAAAUUUAUCCCAUAAUUUUAAUUUUAAUUGUGUAAUUUGAGCACCAAAUUGCUUAGUGCACUUUUGACCUUUCAAAUAAACUUUUUUUUUUUUUUAUAGCUUUGUAUAAAUGCUUUGAUGAACAAUAAGUCCCCUUUAGGGUGCUCUAAAGAGAAUUUCUACUAGAAGGAAUUGGAUAAGGCUCAUACAUGUUCAUGUUUGCAUCCAACCUCUAAUGUAUUCUUUUUAAAGAAAUUAAUUUUUUUUUUUAAAAAAAGGGUAAACUUUAAAUACCGCUAUGUGGUUUCGCACUUUCUCAUUUUAAUACCAUGUGGUUUAAAAUAUAUCAAGUUAGUGUCCUGUGAUUUCAUUUUUAUCUUUUCGUCAGUUUUUUUGUUAAUAUUUUGUUAAAUUAUAUACAAAAAACUUCAGAUAACCUAUCUAGGUUUAUCGAAUAUUCACUUUAGUACCCUUUGGUUUUAACUUUGUCACUGAUUUAACGAAAAAAAUUAAUGAAAUCGAUAAUAAAAAGAAAAAAAUAAAACCACAGAAUACUAAAUUGAUAUACUUUAAACUACAAGAUAUUAAAAUAAGAAAGUAUGAAACUACAUGGGUGAUACUUAAAAUUUUCUCAAAAAAAAAACUUGUAUCAAGAGAACCUAUUCAAAAUGGUAGUCCACUUUUUUAAUUUAAAAAAAAAAACACAUACUAUAAAAAAAGUUAUGCUAAGUAACUAACAAGGACUAAAAUUAGUGGAUCCCACAAUAUUAUGUCUCCCUAUUCCUUCUUUGAUGUUCUAUCAACUAUUAAAUGUCACUGUGUCCUUGUACCAUGCCAUUUAAGGGACAUGAACCACUAAGAUAUAUAUAUAUAUAUAUAUAUACAUUCCCCUCACCAAAUCCAAACCCUAUUUGUUCCACUGUUUAAAGGCACACAAAGAGACUUUUAUGCACCUUUUGUUAGGUUAUCUUUCACUGUUGUUUCAAAUUUUGCUUGCUCAUAUAUAACUCACAUUUAUUAUCAACUUUGUUAGGAACUGGGGUAUUUGUUAAAUGAUGCAGUUGGGAAUUGGGAUUGGGCCUAACAUGGUCACUUUAUAGUAGAGGUUCUUUUAGAUCCCAAAGCUAAAAAGAAAAUUAUAACUAGUGCCUUGAACAUUCAUUAACAAAUAAUUUAUGGCGCUUGAAUUGCAGCUUCUUUUGUUUGAAAGAAAAGUACGUAGCAAACUAUUCACUUCAUUUAUUUUUUUAAUUAAAAAUAACUCCAGCUACAAGCGUGUGUAAACUAAUAGCCAACUACGUUAGGUUUAGUCGGUCGCUUAAAUUGCAGUUGUUGGUGAAACUAAAUCAUAUAAUAAGAUGGGUCUUACUGUGAUCGAGCGGAGUGAAUCGUGUUCAAUUUGAUUCGAGUUAGGCUCGAUUUGAUAUUGAAUAUAUAAUUAAAUUAUAUACUUUCAAGUAAUUAAGUCUCAGCAUUACUUAACUCGAUCAAGCUCAGCUCGAAUAGGCUCGAAAUUAUAUAUUUAUAUCUGUAUAAUUUAUCUAGAGUUUUUAUUUGAAACUGAAGAGAAAUUUUUUUUUUGUAGCAAAAGGUGCAUGCUUAAAAUCACUGCAACAUAGAUAUUUAGAUGUCAAAUCGCAUGCAUAAGUAGUAUAUGACUUAUCAAGCUAUUCAUUAAUUUAGGGUCAGAGUUCGAAAUAUCACUCGAUCAGGCUAGACUUAUAUAUAUCUCAAAAUUUUAAGGCUCGAAAUUAAUUUCAAGUCAAGUUUUGACCACCCUUCCGUGUGAGUUAGCAAGAGAGAGAGAGUAACUCGUAUUCACUUUUUUUUAAAAAAAAAAUUAAGAAAAAAGUAGUAUAGUAGCUAUCUGAUUCAUUUUUGUUUAAAAUAAAUAAAGAUAGAAAUAUAAAAUAAUUUAUUAGUUUCGAACUUAAUUAGAACAUAGGUUGCUCUUAUUUGUCGUUGUUAAAAUAUACUAAUCAUCAUAAUUCAUAGGCUUAGUGCACCACAAGGCAAACCCAAAGUAAAAGCGAAAGAUAAAGACUCUAAUUAAAAGGAAGUUCCAUAAUAGAGUUUUCUUUAUUUUUUGAACAAUACUACGUAUACACCAACCGUCCCUAAAGCAAGUGGCAAAAGGUUUGGUGGUUGGUACCCGAGACCCAAGUUCGAAUCUUAGUUGAUUCACAUUUCUAGCUAAGUUUAUUUCUAAAUGAAAUAAACGAAGAGGAUAGCGUGCUAUCUAUCUCUCAAAAAAAAAAAAAAAAAAUACUACGUAUACACCCUACUUAGGAUGUGUGAUUGAUAGUUAACACCGCAUCUAUUGAUUGCCACUUGCUUUAGGGACGGUCGGUUACUAGUUACGAAAAUGUUAAAGUACAAUUUUCACAACUCUCGCGUAUGGUAUGCAAAACACGUUUCAAAAGCAACCGCAACUUGAUAAAGAAGCUCCUCAACGAGUUCUCGUUAAAACAGUUUGGUAAAUCGCGCUUGAAUCUUAAAGACCUAUUUCAAUCUAAAAAUUUGUGUAUAUAUACUCAACGGUGGGCUAGAGAGAACUCUAUAAGAGAGAAUGCGUUGUUACUUUUAAAGUUUUUUACUACAAAAAGAUGAGUAUAUAUAACUGAUGCGUAAAUGAGUCGCGUUAGAACAGUUUGAUAAAUCGUGUGAUUCAUUCCAUACAAAAAGUGCACUAAUCUAAAGGAGAAUGAAGUGUCCCUCAUUCAAAUUUUAGUCCUUUGUACACGUAACCCACUCCCUCCCUCUCUCUCUCUCUCUCUCUCUCUCUCUCUCUCUCUCUCUCUCUCUAUAUAUAUAUAUAUAUAUAUAUGUGUGUGUGUGUAAGUGUGUAAGCCCACAUGCAUGACACAACAUAUCCUACAAAAUGCGUUCAAUGGUCGAACACUUGAUGGGCACCAUGGGAGGCGGAGAUUACGGGGGCGCAGAGGCGCGUGGGCGCGCGGUGAUCCUCGUCCCGUUCCCGGCGCAGGGCCACGUGACCCCGAUGCUCCACCUCGCGCGCGCCCUCGCGCGCCGCGGCUUCGCCCCGACGCUCGCGCUCCCGGACUUCUUCCACGGCGCCGCCGCGCCGCCGCUCGACCCCGCGGUCGCGCUCGCGCCGCUCGCCACGGGGACCCCGCGCGGCGGCGGCGGGGAGGGGUUCGCGGGACUCGUCGCGGCGAUGGAGGCGCGCGCGCCCGCGCAGCUGGAGAGGUUGCUGCUGCGGCGGCGCGGCGCGGGGGCGGGGGCGGGGGAGGAGGUGGCGUGCGUGGUGGUGGACGUGCUCGCGUCGUGGGCGGUGCCCAUCGCGGCGCGGUGCGGCGUCCCCGCCGCGGGGUUCUGGCCCGCCAUGCUCGCCAGCUACCGCAUCGUCUCCGCGAUACCGGAGCUCCUCCGCAAGGGCCUCAUCUCCAACUGCGGUACGCACCGCACCGCACUGUGUUCUGCUUCUACUUCUGCUUCUACUUCUACUUAACAGCAACAGCUAUUUCCAUCGAUCACUUAUUUAAUAAAUAAGUCGAGUAUGAACUGAAUUUUUUAACUCAAAAUCUUAACAAAAUGAACAUCAGUAAGUGCCAGUUCACUAGUGUUCGGCUCGAUAAAACCCAAAAUAAAUAAAUAUAUAUAUAAUAAAUUUUUAUUAUUUGAACUUUUGAUCAAUCCAAAUGGUACUCGAUCUAUAUUUUGUAAAUUUUAGUUAUUAAAUUAUGAUUCUAAUUUACGACACGUACCUUUUUAGAGCAUUUAUUCAGUUCUAAAUUUUCGACCGUGGAAGUUAAAACUCAAUUGCAAUCUUAUCCUUUCUAUUAGACUUAACUAGCUAAAUUGAUGAAAUAUCUAGAUAAUGUUGUAUAAGAGCCCGUUUGGUCGCGUAUAGUUGUACCACACGACUUUAAUUUUAAGAAAACAAAAAAAAUUAUUUGAUUAAAUACUCCUAUGUAAUUCGAUAAAAAAAAUUAAUACACCAAUCAGCAGAGUUAUUUAAUUUGAUAAAAGUUUUAACUAAGUGUAGGAACUCAAAUAAGAAAAAAUUUAAAAAGUGUCUAAAUGCAAAAAAAUAAUUAAAAGUUGAGGGACAUUUUCAAAACGUGUCUAUAGUUGAGGGGUUGCUAUACUUUUUAACCCUCAAAAGUUAUUAUUAUACAUUGAAACCAGUGAAUGAUACACGCGCCACAAAUAACCCUCUUUUUGCCAACUCAGCGCCGCAUCACUAUCUACUAGUAACACCACAUGUGCACUUUACAGGUACUCCUCUGCAGGAACUCCACUUACCUUUCCUACCGAAAGCGACCGCCGGCGACCUCCCGUGGCUCGUCGGGAACUCCACAUCCCGGAAGCUGCGAUUCGCCUUCUGGCGCCGCACCCUCCGCCGCGCCCAAACCCUCCCCCACAUCCUCGUCAACUCCUUCGACGACGCCGAGCCCGGAAGUCGCGACUUACCGGAACUCACCACUUCCCCGCCCGGCCCACGCAUCCUCCCCAUCGGCCCAUUAACAGCCCACGAUGAGGCCCGGCCCAAUUACGGCCUGUACCAGCCCGACCCAACCUGUGUGGAUUGGUUGGACUCGAAGCCCGCCGGGUCCGUGAUCUACGUGUCGUUCGGGAGCUGGGUGGGGCCCAUCGGGCCCGACCGGGUCGACGCGCUCGCGCGCGGGUUGGACUCGACCGGCCGGCCGUUUCUCUGGGCCUUGAAGCCCGAACCGGCCUGGCGAACCGGGCUCCCGGCCCGGUUCGAGGAGCGCGUCGCGGGGCGCGGGAAACUCGUGGGUUGGGCCCCACAGGAGGAGGUUUUGGGCCACCCCUCCGUGGGCUGCUAUCUUACGCACUGCGGGUGGAACUCAACGGUCGAGGCGCUAAAAUGCGCCAAGAGGCUCCUGUGCUACCCCAUCUCCGGGGACCAAUUUGUGAAUUGCGAAUACAUCGAGGGGGUGUGGGGGAUUGGGCUGAGAGUGGAUACCAUGGAUUUGGGUGAGUUGAGGGGCUGCGUUGAGAAGGUGAUGGGUGGGAGAGAGGGCGAGGAGAUGCAGAGGAGAGUGGAUGAGCUGCGAAGAGAAGUGCUUCAGGGGAAAGCUAGUGUUAGAGCCAAGAACAAUCUCCAAUUGUUUGUGGAUUCAAUUAAGCGAACGCCUCGUGUGCGAGAGUAAACAGUUGUUGUAUUCGGGAUACUGAUUUUGACAGAGCAGUUGCUACAGCUUGUCGAGUUUAUAGAAUUAAUAAUGAUGAUGUUUAAUGUAUUUGACUUGUCAAUAAUAACUUAAUAUCAAUGAUAAGUUUUGGAUUUUUAUUGUCCUUCUCCUACUGCUACUCCUGGUUUAAUUUAAUUUUCUCUGGUUUGAUAUAAAAUUUUGGCAUGUCGAAAGAAUGGUCUCUAUUUGCUUAAGUUUUUAAAUUCAAACAGUUUUCACAACAAUAAGUUAUUAUAAAAAGUUACAUAAAACUGAAAAUAAUGAAGCUAUGCAGGGCAUUUUUGUGAGCACCGGAAAGGCGGAAACCGAUGAACAACACUGCAGAUCAAGAGAAAAUUGACAAUGAGACCAGUUCAAAAUAUCAUUUGUCACAAAGAAAAGGGUCUCACACCUUUUCCAUUAUAAUCUCAGAAUACAUCAUCUGUAUAUAUUGAUACAAAAGAAUCACUACACCAAUACUCACAUUAGACACAUGUUUCAUGCAUGACAAAAAGAAUUUGAGUUGCUUUCCGACUGUGCACUUGCUCUGUGACAUGAGAAUGAGUUGCGACUUGCGACCGCUCUAUCGAAGUAACUCUUUCUUGUAUAAACUCUCUCUACUGUAGAGAUAAACGAUACAUUGUAUAUAAGUUUCGUUUAUAUUAAUGGCUUUUACGUAGUAUGUCUAAUCCAAAGCAGCUUUGUUUCUUCUCGCAGCUAUCGGCAUCUGCAGACCAUCUAGAAGAGGCCUAGCAAGGACAUCAGCUCGCAAACCCCACAUGCUUGUUGGCCAUAUGGAGGAGGAGCAACUCUCCGAAUCCGUCAAGUUCGAGGUGCUCGACGACUUCCUAACAGCGAGCAGCGCAUCAUCCAUCGAAGGAUUGCUGUUGUUAAUAAAAUUCUGGCAACUCCUAUUCAUCGUGUCUGCCCGACCCCCUGAUUUUGGUCUCAGCGGGAGACCUUUUCCCUUAUACGCCAAUUUUUCAACCGAUUGACGCCUCCGAAUAGAUUUCUCGAUAUCAUUGGUCUCUGCGGUUUCGGCAGUUGAUCUAUCCUCCGUGAUCCCAUUAGCGCAGAGAGAAGAGUUGAUCUUGUAGACCGCCAUUUCUGUGCCUUCGAGUAGCGGGCCAAGUUUAUGCGGCGGCGCGAGGCUGUAGAAUCCUUGUAAACUACUCAUGGCGGGCGAUACUUUGCACGACGGAGGUUUUAGUUUGAGUGUUUGAACAGUAUCGAGAAUAUCACUUCGAGCUCGGCGUGGAGGAGUUUGAUCUCUGAAACAACUUCAGUAUGUUAGAAAGGUUCGCACAGUGAGUUAACGAUGCGAUGUCUAAACAAACAUACGAUGUUUUGCAUUAGUUAAUCUGAAGUGCUCAAACAUAGCACAGAAAUGACGGAAAAACAUAUGCAGCAAACUCAUAAGCAAGCAAUCACUGGAUAUUUUUCGUCACCUGUCAUUAGCUGCGCCAUUUGAGAUGUUCGGCGACGGAGGAUGCCUCCCAGGUAGAGGAAUUUGCAACGAUUUGCGAGCGAACAUCUGAAUAUCUGUUACCAACCCAUUCAUCCUUUUGAUAUCGGCUACCUAAUCAUCGAAAUUACAAUAUGGAGCAUAUUAAUGGCACUUUAAAAAGCACAAAAUACAUGAAUAUAUAUACACGGCUCUGUAAACAAUAAUUGUUUAACUAUUUACAUGUGCGCGGUGGAAAACAGAAAAACAAGCUCAGCAUCUGUUUUGAGUACGAAAUCAUCAAAACAUCGUUCUCUAUUAGUAUAAACUUUUUGAUUUUUUUUUUAAACAAAUAUAUAUAUAUAUAUUUCACGUGGUAUCGAAUCAGGAGAUCAUGAGUUCAAAUCUGAUCAGACUCCUAAAUCUCGUCCAAUUUUGUCCUAUAUAUUUAAGUCCAAAUUUCCGGCCCAAAUAAUUAAAAUAUCAUUCUCCAAUAGCUUAAACUUCUAAAAAAAAUGGCUGUUUCAGAGUUCGAUGAAUGUAAAAUAAUGGGCCAAAAAUAUGAGGAAAAAGCAUAAUUUUUCUAUCAAUCAACAACUAUAAGAUCCUACUCAUGUUGCUUUCAACAAAAUGGUAAAAAAGGAGAUCAAAAUAGGGAUGGUUCUUCUAGUACAAAAUUUACGCUUCGCAUGAAAUAUACUAAAUAUAUUAAUUAAAUCCGUAAAGAUAAAUGACCUAUCCAAAUUGUAAAGUUGAUGAGUAAUUAAUUGAUUCAAAUCAAAUAAAUUAUAUUCCUAGCAAAAUUAUAACUUUUAAUGAUUAGAGAGUCAAAUUGAAAAACAAAAAAAAAAAAAAAAGCUUUUCAACUACCUCCACACCAUACUUUAUGGCGACCCCCGCGAGUGUAUCCAUCCUCGACACUCUAUGCUCUAUGUAACCAACACCGAACGGCGACAACGGCGACGACGAAGAUGAUGAUGAUGAUGAUGAUGAUGAUGAAGGGGAUUGGGGCCACGGCGGAGACGACGACACGGGGAUCGUCGCGACCCCAUCGAUCUCCUUUUUCGCACGAUGUGCGACGAACCCGUCGAUCGAACCAUUGGAAACGAGGUACGAGCUCACCCCAUUUCUCCUACCCCGCUCCAUUUGCGCCUCCGAAGAUCUCAACCUCACCGUCAUUGCGCCGCGAAAACCCUAAUUUCGCCCAAAAUUGCCGCGAAACGCACGAAAUUCACGAACUCGCCGGAUAAAAAAUCCGAAUUUUUGGGAAAAAAGUGGAAUUUUUUGGAGACAAAUACCUAAAUCCGUGGAUCCGGAGUUGAAUUUGACGGAGAUUGCUUUCGAUUAUUCGUCGGAUUCCGAAUUUGGGGUCGGAAACCCCCAAAAUGAGGAGAGAGAGAGAGAGAGAGAGAGAGAGAGAGAGAGAGAGGUGUUAAUGGAGGAGGAGAGCGAAGGCCAUGGAUUAAUUAAAUAAGCUGUUGCACGAAUUUUGACGCGGUGCGGGGCGUGAUGUACACGUGGACUAAUUCUAGGCGGUGUCAUCGAAUUUCUCUUGUGAAAGAGUAAAAGUAGAGUGCCCGGUCCCUGUAGACUCCGAUAUUGCAUCGUAGUCCUCUAAUCUUUUCACUUAAGUCCCCCAACAUUCUAAUUUAGAAUUUAAGUAUCUAUCGGUUCAGACCGUGCCCGCUGUGCCGUAUCAUAUCAAUAAGAAAUUAAUAAAAUAUAUAUUUCGUGCCGAAAAUAGUGUCUAUAGUAUAACUCAAAAUCUUUCCUAGUUAAAAUUAGUAAGUAAUUACAUAAAUAGAAUAAAAAAUGAUUAAAAAAAGUAUUAAAAAAUUAGAACAUAUUGCCUAUGUUAUCAACAAUAAAUAUUUACACAACAAUAUACGCCGUGCUAUACAUAAGUUCGCGUCAUUGUACUUAAAUUUUUUUAUUCUAAUAUAUUAUAAGAUAUUUAUGAUUCAGCGAUUAUUUUACGAAAAAAAAUACAUAUUAUUAAUUUACGAGGGAUGAAAUCAUAAUAGAAAUGAAAGUUUCUUCAGGGACCAAAAUUGUAAAAUCCACAAAUUUUGCCCUUUUUUUAAGGUAAAACCUUAAUUGAUUUAACCGACAAAAUUUUCUUAUUAGUCACAAAUUUGGGAUAUUUAUUGCACUAAUUAUAGUGCCAAAAUUAUUUUAAAUCAUACAAAAUAAAUAAAUAAAUAAAUAUAUAUAUAUAUAUAAUAUUUAUUGCGUUACCAAGUCACUGCUAUAUAAAGUAUUUUGCAUUUUCCUCGUUGUUCCGUUUACGGAACUAUUUACCUAUCUAGCCUCUUUACAAAAAAAUAUUCCCUAUCUAGCCUUCUUUUGAAAAAUAUUCCCCAUCUAGCCUCAUUUUCAAAGAUUAAAGAAAAAAAGAGAAAUUAAUACCUUUAAUAUAUAUUAAAGGGUUAAGUGGGGGAGAUUACCUUUUUCUCUCUCCUUUCCCGAGAUCCCUUCUCACUCCCUAAUUUUUGUGUAUAAUUUAUCUCAUAUCAAUUUAUUUCAAAAUAGAAAAUUUUCACAUGGUGCAUCAACCAAUUCUAAUCUUUUUAUAUUUUGAUAAAAAUAUUAUGCAUGGUUCGAAAGGAGUUGAUUAUAAUGAUCUUGAUCCAAAAACUAUUUGGAUUUCUCGUAUUUUAGGUUUUAAUACAUUAAAACAUGAAAUUUAUAGGCCGAAUGGGAUUAAGAUUAUUUUGAUAUAAAAAUUAAUAGGAGAUGAGAGAGAAAAAGAUAAUCUCCUUCACUUAACCUCUUAAUAUAUAUUAAAGAAAUUAAUUUCUCUUUUUUUCUCUAAUCUUUGAAAAUGAGGCUAGAUGGGGAAUAUUUUUCAAAAGGAGGCUAGAUAGGAAAUAUUUUUUUGUAAAGAGGCUAGAUAGGUAAAUAGUUCCCGUUUACGUCCUUGUCUCGUAAAUUAAGAUUUGGUUUAUGACACUGGCCGCAUAGGAGCUUUUAUGCGUACAUGAAAGUAUGAAUAACUUUGAGUUGGUAAUGAUAUUCACUCAUAACAAAUUGUAUUCAUAAUAUUUGAUUAAAAUAAGUUGAUAAAAAAGUAAGUAGAUUUAUUUAAAUUCUAAGUAGUUAAAUUGUAAAUGACAACUUCUAAAAUAUGCACGUAUCACUAAUUCGAUAAUUUGGCGGCAUCGAUUGAAUCAUUCAUCUAAAUAAUUUUAUUAUAAAUUUAGAGUUUUUCUGUGUUAAAAACUAUAGAAAAUUUGCUAUUCUAACUGAAGCAUCCAUUUAGUUUAUAAAAUUAAAAUUUCUCAAAGAAUAAUCUUCUCGGAAAUAAUUAUUCUAGAAUUGGAUUCAAUUAAAAUAUAUUUAUUUAGUUCAUAUUUUAGAAUAUUUAGAAUUAUAUAAACCUUAUAUUUAUGUCAAUAAAUUUAGUAUAUUUUUUUUUUCUAUAGAGCAUAUGAUGAUGAAUAUUAAAUUUGAACGAAAUAUUUUAGUCUAUUAAAAUCAAGCGCCCAUUAAAAAAAAAGAAAAAAAUCAAGUUUUAAAUUAUCAUAUUUUAUAGUAAUUUUUAUUUAUAUAUUCAUACUUUUUUUUUAAAAAAAAUACUAAGUUAAAAAUUAAGGUUCGUUUGGACUUAAAACCAAAAUCAAGUAGGAUUUGGACCCAACAUGCGAGACCGAGUUCAUCCGCACGGCAACUUUGUAUGCGGUGAUUCGCACGGGUGCCUCUCUGAAAAAAUCGCACCGCAUGGGGUUUUGACUUUUUGACUCAACAGUGGCGUGCGACCGAACGAAAGUUUGGCGCGGUCAACGUUUCCUCUCCACAAUUUAUAGAGAAAUAAAAAAAAAAUUAAUGAAUUAAAUAACGCACACAAAAAAACAAAUUGCCAUAAAAAAAAAUUAAUUUUUUAAUAAUUUUUUGAGUUUACGUUUAGGCUCCGGUCACUGUCACGUGAAAUAAAUGCGGGGCCGCAUGAUCGGCUCUCGAAAUCACGACCGUUCGUUUCGCUCGCGGUUGUUGUGAUUGACCAAUCACGCCGCUAAUCUCGGGGGAGAUACAAACAAACUUAGUUCGUUCCCGGGGUAAAUUUCAGACACCACCCUAUAGUUUCGCAUGAUCUUACUUUAGUACUCUAUAGUUUAAAGUGUAUCAAGUUAGUGUGCUGUAAUUUUAUUUUUAUUUUUUUCGUCAGCUUCUUCUUUAAUAUUUCGCUAAAUUAUAUACAAAAAAUUUUAGAUACCCCAUCCAGGUUUAUCGAAUAUUCAUUUUAGUACCUUUUAGUUUUAACUUUGUCACUGGUUUAACGAAAAAAAUUAGUAGAAUCGAUAAUAAAAAGAUAAAAAUAAAACUAUAGAACUCUAAAUUAAGAUAUUUUAAAGUACAUGGUACUUAAAUGAGAAAGUGUGAAAUCACAGAAAGAGUAUUUGAAGUUUUUCCAAAAGAAAAAGAAAAAUUUGAGUGAGGAGCUGCCCAACAAGGACGGAAAGCUCCUCAGAUGUUGCCACAUUGUUCAAGUCGGACGCAUUUUAAAUAAACAGCUUAGGAAGACGGGCAAUACAGUCCAAUCUACUUAGGUACCGUUUAGUUGAAUAUAAUUGCAACUGUACUGUAGUUAUAAUUACAUAUAAAUACACAUUUAGUAUUUUGUUUGAUAUAUUUAACUCCGACUCCUGCAAUUCCUACUACAGAAAGAGGCCCAACUGCAGCAAUUGAAACUACGUCCAAAUUGACUAUAUUUUCAACUGCAGCAGUUGGAAACAGAAAAGUUAUGCUUACCUCUUUAAUUAACUUGCAAAAAUAUUUUUUUUUUAUGUUGGAGGUAAUCUUACCGUUAUAUAUAUAAAUGAUAAAGUUUUAAAAAUUAUUUUUCAACUGUAUGUAACCAAAUAAAUUAUUUAUAGUUAUAUCACUUUCUAUCACAUUCAGCCAAACAUAACGCAUGUACUGCUGCAUUUUCAACUGCAUGCAUCUUCAACUAUACUAUAUUUGUAAGCUAUGAGUUUAAUGAUUGAUAUUAUUUUACACGAUUAUUUCUAAGAAAAUAAAUAAAAUGGAUAAUUUGCUAAUUUUCUCUUAAAAGAAUCAACCAACUUUAUUAGUUGCGGACCUGCUAAAUUUGCUUAGUUUGACGAAAUGGAGCACCGGCGGCGGCAACGCUAUGGUCAUGUUUUCCAUUCUGUUAAGUCUUGCAAAAUUUUCUUUUUUUCCUUUUGAUUACUGGGUCUCUCAAAGUAACAAAAUGGAUCGGAUCUCAUUGCGAAUCUCCGUAAGUUUUUUUUUUUUUUUUUUUUUGAGAGAUAGGUAGUACGCUACCCGCUUCGUUUUAUUUCAUUUAGAAAUAAACUUAGCUGAAAAUGUGAAUCAACUAGGAUUCGAAUUUGGGUCUCGGAUACCAACCACCAAGUCCUUUGCCACUUGCUCUAGGGACGAUCGGUCGAAUCUUCGUAAGUUAUUCUAAAACAUAGAGACUUUUGCUUAUAUAUCUCUUACUGUUAUUCAAAUUUUCAAUUUUUUCUUUCUUAUUUUUUAAAAAUAUUCUUCUAAAACCCCACUCCUAUUAGUAAAUUCUAGAGGUUAAGGGGAUAUUUAAAAAAAAAAAUUUCAAACGGAUAAAGAUAUUUUUGAAGUUUUACGGAGCAUAUUAGAUAUUAUCCCUUAAAAAUAUAUGCGAUUGAAACACACGACAGCAUCUGUACUCUACAGAACUCCUAGCGAAGUUUUGGCCUUCUUCUUGCCUACUUUGGAAACUCAGGAAAAAAUUUGCAAUAAUUAAUCACCGCUAUCUACUACAAUAAUCGGUUGGCAUCUUAAUCGCGCUCUUAUUACAAUUUGUAUAAAAAUUAAUUCUUUUCUCGUACUUUUUUAUUUAAUAGUGUAUUCUGAACCGUUAUUCCAAACGAAAUCUUACGAAGGUUAGGAAAUGAGAACUUUCUGCAACGUCAAAUUUCUGC